rnacentral:lncRNA from 1 species
UACUAUUCACGUAUACGACACUAUUCACGUAUACGACACUAUUCACGAAUACGGCACUAUUCAUCGAAAAAUAAAAAUUUUUCCUUUUCGUCUAAAAUAUCUAUUGUGGAUACUAGCUUUGAUUGUAUCCAUGUUUUGAUCAUUCUUGAAUUUUACACCACUAUGAUUAUUUUUGAGGUAUUUUUGGACAUGGAUAAAACAAAGUACGAAUCCUUAAUCCUUAAUCCUUGUCAUUUUGUUUCACUGGAUUCGUUUCUUUAAAAAUAUUUUUCAUCAUCCUCAGUCUUAAAUGAUGAUAUUAAUGAAUAUCUUUGGCCUGUAGUGCAAAGAUGAAUGAUUUCUGAUGAAUAUCUUUGGCCCGUAGUGCAAAGAUGAACAGGUGUUUAGAUGAACAUGACCAACUGGUGAAUAUCUUUGGCCUGUAGUGCAAAGAUGAAUAUUUGAUUUAUGAUGUAUAUUGAUUGAUGUUACAGGGAUAAAAUAUCGAUGAUGGACUUUUAAAUUCAUAGAUGAUAGUAGAUUUCAUUCUCUACUUAACUCUUCUAAUGAAUUGUUGUUUCCGCUGCAGUUGUUGAUCUAAAACUUGUUGUCUAUUGUAUUCUAUCAGAUUUUUCCCUGUUGAAGACUAAGAAUAAUUUGUUGUACAUUAUCUUAGUCAUAAUAUUCUUUACUGGGCUAGUUGAGCUCACCCUUUUUCUUGUUGUUCUAUUUUUCUUCUCAGGAGACGAGAAUGUAGCAAGUACGAGUCGGGGGAUGUAAUGAUGGUUCUAGAGAGAGUUGUUUAGUAGUCCUCACCAUUUUUAUAAAAUAAUGUAUUAAUAAUUAUGAUGGGGAUUUAUUUGCGUGUGGAUAUUGUCUAGAAGGCAAUAUUUAUAUUUAAACUCACAGUUUUAUGUUGUAUUAAUAAAGAUGUAGUUGUUUCUAUACCAUGUAAUUGGCGACUCAGAAUGGGUUGGAUGGAAUGAACCUAUUUUGGGGUUGUCACAAGUAAAGCCAAGUGAAUUGAGAUAAAUAGAGUAAAUUUUUAUGAAGUAAUUGUUAUAAAUUUGGCUUAUUACAUGGACCCCCACUUACCUAUUUUUCAAAAUUAUCAGUAAAAAUGUAUCUCAGUUUCGUUUUAUUACUUAUAUAUAUAUAGAUAUAUAAGUUUUAUAUGUUAUAUAUAUAUGUGUGUGUGUGUGUGUAUGUGAUCCGUGGGUGAAUAUAUAUUUAUAUAUAUAUUAUAAGUUUUUUUUAUUAGAAAAUUAUAUUGUGCAUAGUACUGCAUAGUGCAUCAUAGUAAAAUCAAAAAUUUUUAAAAGUUUCGUCUGUGAACAAAGUUCGCCCGUGAAUUUUUUUUUCCUACUAUGCAGCCCGUGAUUUUAUUUUCUAAAUAGUAUCCUAUCAUUCUCCUAUAAAUAGGAUGCUUAGUUUAGAAAUAAAAAUCACACCAGAAUCAGAAAAUUCUUCUUCUAUAAUAUAUAUUGAGCGUAUUUUUUUUGAGUUUAAGAAAGAUUUGAAUGUAAAAAACAGUUUAACUUUUCUUCAAGAAUAUCCUCGUUAUACCAUUCAGAAGUACUCUCCUUUCUAAGGUAAGGGAUAUUAUUUUGUUCAGUAUUCGUAAGAAAUAAUAUUUUCUUUCAUAUUCUGUAGUAUGUAAGUAAUAUUAUUUCAUUUCAUAUUCUUAAUUCUGCACUUAUGUUGAUAAAUAUUACUUCUAUAGUCCUUGAAAAUAGUAGAAUAUCCUUGAAAUUUGCGCUUCAUCUAGUAUCUUUUUCACAUAAAUAUUAUUCCAAUCAUUCUUGAUAAUUUUUAAUCUUUUCAUGUUGGGGUACUAUUCACGGGAUAUUAUUCCUGAAGUACUAUUCACGGGGUACUAUUCACUCGGGCACUAUUCACCUGGGGUACUAUUCAUGAUAAAAAUUAAUUUCUUUUAUGUCUAAAUUAUUUUUGAGACAUUAAUAUUAUUCUUGAAUUUUACUCCACAAAGCAGUUAUCAUGAUGACAAUUUGGACAUUCUUGAACUCUGGAUAAAUUAAAUUUUAAAUAUUUAAAAUUUAUCCUUGUUUUCACUUAAUUGAAUUCUUAUAUCAUUGUCAUCAUCAUCAUGCUUAUAUUGUAAUGAAAGUCAUCUUUGGCCCGUAAUGCAUAGAUGGACUAUUGAUUGGUAUGAUUCUGACUAUGAAUCGAUAUAAUCAUGACCUGUAAUGUUAAAAGUGAUGUGAUAAAAGUCCUCAUUGGCCCGUAGUGCAUUGAUGGACAGUUGUUGGUAUGAUCAUAACCAUGAGUGAUAAAAACGAAUUUAUUUGGCCCGUAGUUCAUGGAUAAUUCGUGGAUGUGAUACUAACGAUUAUCCUUGGCCCAUAGUGCAUGGAUAAUUCGAUGAUGUGGAUUAUUUAUUGAGCUGUGUUACAACGAUAAAAUAUUGAUGAUAAACUUUUAAAUCAUAGAAGAUAGUAGAUAUCAUGCUCUACUUGACUCUUCUAAUGGAUUGUUUGUUCCGCUGCAGUUAAACUUGAUGUCUAUUGUGUUCUAUCAGUUUAACACUGUUGAAAGCUAACGAUAAUUUAUUCUGCAUUAUCUUAGUCAUAAUAUUCUUUACUUGGCUAGUUGAGCUCACCCUUUACUUUCACUGUUCUCUUCAACAAAUGAGGAUAUAGUAGUCCUCACUAUUCUAUGAAAUAGUGUGAUAAUAAAUAUAAUGAGGAUUUCAUUUGAGUUUGGAUAUUGUCUACAAAUAUUCGUGUUAAAACUUUCAGCUACGUUUUGUCGUAUUGUAUAAACGAAGUUUGUAUUUAAAUUUUGUACCAUGUAUUUGACGACUCAAAAUUGGUUGUGUAUAACUAUUUUGGGAGCGUCACACACACACAUACACACACACACACACACACACACAUAUAUAUAUAUAUAUAUAUAUAUAUAUAUAUAUGUGUGUGUGUGUGUGUGUGUGUGUGUGUGGAAAAUGGAGUAUGUGUCUUAGACACGUAAACUUGUGUGUUUGGCGCCUAAUACGACAUAGUUUUAAUUGAUAAAUUGGUGAAAUCUCAAAAUAAUUAUUAAUGAAAAUUAUGAAAUAGCAAAAACACUAUUAAUUAUAUAUAUAUAUAUAUAUAUAUAUUUAUAUAUGUGUGUGUGUGUGUGUGUGUGUGUGUAUUAAUGUAUAUGUCAUUGGUUGAGGACAUCAACUUGGUCCACAAACCCAUUUGACAUCAUGGCCAGACGAGGAAAAAUAACAUAGAUAUUGGCCAACUGGAACCCCUCCUUCCCAACAUCAAGAAAAUGCACUCGAUGUUUAUGCAUCAUGCAUGUCUCAAAUCAGCACUUUCUGAUUGGCUACCUCCACCUAAUAUACUUUUUCUUUUUAAAGUCUGAGAAAUUAAACCUUAUGUUUCUACCCUAGUUUAGAUCAAGGAAAAAGGAUUACUAUUGUUUUUUUACCAACUUUUUGUCCUUAUGGGAGCAGGCUGAAAAUUAGGAGAAAAGUGAGACGUAAGAAACGGGGCAUAAUUUACCUAUGGUCAAAUUUACUUACAAAUGUAAGUGUAUUAAUUAUAAGUUUUUAAUACAUGACUUGAUUAAUUGAAUAAAAGGUGCAUGAAAUUUUAUGUUAUAGCAACUUGAUUUUAGUCUCACUUUAAUAGUUUAAUUCGUUUUGAAUUGAUGAUAGAAAGAGGAACAAAUACAAUUCAUCAUUUGACUAGCUUAUAACUUGAAAUUGUCAAAGCUAUACCAAAAUAUACCAUGCAUGCAUAAAUUACUAGUAAAUUUAGUAUUUCAAUAAGAUUUUUGUCAAACUACUAACAUAUAAGUGGGUCUCACAAGUACGAGAGAACACAUUUUAAGCCGAUAAAAUCUAAAGCUAAAGUACGGUAACCUUUAGUUCUCAACUUCAUGAGUUAACUUCGAUCAAUUAAUCAAUACAAUGUCAACACGUAUAAUAGAAGGUGAUUUUUCUCUGCGUGUCAGUAUUGUAUUGGCCAAUUAAUCAACUUACCAUGAAGUUAACUUUACGGUAAUCGAAUCCCUUAUUUUUAAGCGAUUUUCCACUUAACCACCUAUAGUCAGUAAAGCUACAUUUAAACACCCGACCUUUUUAGUUGAAGUGAAAAACUGCUUUCUGUCAUAACUCUGUUACUUUAAAAGAUUAAAGACUUAAUUACCCUCGUUAUAUAUAAAAGAGAGAUGCUUGUUCAUCUCUCUCUCUCUCUGUUUUUCUAAGAAACAAAAAACAGAGUAAACACCUUAAUUCCAGUAAAUACAUGAAACAUCUCCAGUUAAAACAUAAAUUAUCCUACGAUUCAUUUUCUGAGUUUGAAGAGGGCCACUUUAAUGCAGGACUGUGUAAUGAAGAGAACACAGUAAAUCAAUUACUAAUUGGAAAGAGGGAGACAUUCCUCUAAAUUGAAUUGGAAAUAGAUCAAAUUAAGAUAAGAAAACAAAAUAAAUUUCAGAAGUAGAGAAGAGGGAGUAUAUUUUAGGCAGAUAUGAAACUUCUCUGCAUAUUCAAUAUUCGAUCAUAUUAUGCAAAAAAUACACCCAUGUUCCUCUGUUCUUCACCUGAAAUGUUCCUAAGCUAAGUUGAUUUUUCCACCUGAAAUGUUCCUCUGAACAAAAAUAGCAACAACAGAUAAAGAAUUAGUAAAUUAUGCAUCUUCAACUCACAAGGUGUCAACAUAAGCCAAUUAAGAAAGAAACCAGAGUGGGAAAACAAAUUCAUUAUGCAAAAAUUACAUCAAGGUUAAUCCAAAGUGCGAGAAUAUAAAACCUCGUAUUUCAGAAAUAUUAACCACUCCACUGUCCAAAAAAUAUGAAGAACCAUACAAUUAUCCCCCAUGAGGGAACAACGCCGAAUUUAGAAGAAUCCCCCAUGAGGGAACAACGCCAAAUUUAGAAGAAUCUUUGCAGGGUGUUCCAAUUGCUCUUGAAAAUGUGGCGACUAGUAUUGAUCAGAAAUUUAAAGAUGAACAAAUGAAAAGUGAUGAACAGAAUAAAUCACAGAAAGUAUCUGAAAUUUAGCAAGUCCUUCAUCUUCUUCCAUUCGCUCAACGAAAAGAAGCCUCGGCAGAAUUUAGCAGGCACAUCCAAGCAACAAUAGUUGAAUUACUUGGAGAGCUUGUGAUUGGAGAAGUAAGCAACUCUCUUAGGAGAAGAAAGAUGUUGGAUUCUGAAGAGAGCAAUAGAGAUUCUGUUUCUACAGAGAUGAUGAUAUCUAGAAGCAAGGCUCCUUGGGUUAAAAUUCAAGAGCAGCCAUCACAAAGGGAGGUUUCAAAUACGGAUUCUCCAUCAUUUGGGAUUGACGCAGGAAGGAGGCAAGGGUGAAGAGGCGAGCAUGGUAAUUACAACACCAGUGAGGCGAUCAAGCAGAAUCCGUAGCCGUGGUGCCAUGUCUCCCAUCUGGCUCAACUCCAAAAUCCAUUGUAGAUGAAGAAACCUGUAACUUCUCCCAUCGGCUUCAAUUUCCACGCCAUCGCCACCACCACCACCUCUCGAUUUUUCCGAUUAUCACCGCGAUUAUAUGUUUUGAUUCAAGGUACUCAUAUAUUCUCCAUCUCUUGAUCUCGAUUUAGAGAUUCUCCAUCUCUUGAUCUCGAUUUAGGGAUAAACCCAAAAUUCGAUUUAGGGAUAAAUGAGAGAGAGAGAGAAUGAGAAUGCAGGAGUCAGAAAUGAGGGAGAAUACUGUGGUUUGAGUAAGAAGGCUAUUUUAGACAUUUUCUAGUUUUUUUUUACCGUUACACUUCUUAUCACGUGUUUUUUGGCGUCUGACAUGCACGCUCGGUUAAUUUGGAUGGAAAAGGUAACGGUUUCACUUCACCUCAAAAGGUCGGGUGUUUAAAUGUAGUUUUACUGACUAUAAGUGGUUAAGUGGGAAACCGCUUAAACCCCAGGUGGUCAUCUGAACUUAACCCUUUUUAUAAUUCUAACUGUUGGGUCAUGAUAUUUCCUUUAUUUGGGCCGGGUGAAUUGGGUUCACUUAUUAAUUUAAUCCAUUGGGCUUUUAUAAUUAAGCCAUAAGGCUCGUUGGGCCUGGUCACUGUGUUAGCUUUAUUUAAUCCUAUAAGAUCGGGUCGGUUCGUUGGAUUAACCUGUUGGAUCAUUUAAUAUCUAUUACUUUGACUUGUAAUGAUGGUAUAGUAUGACAGUUGACUGAGUUACCUGCCAUGCAUUAAUGUGGAUGGGAUUAUAGCCGGUCGGCGGCAUAAACAGUGACCAAAAGUAGUGGGUAGAUUGCAGGCAGACGGAAGGACCCAUCAGAUCAUGGGGGUCGUGUCAGGAGUAGUGGGUGGCACGGUAAAUCGGGAAAAGAGAGUGUAAUCUAUCAACUAAGUCUUCACAAGGAGGUACGUUUUUCAUAUAUCCAUACACACACAACUGAGAAUUAUCAUCUCUCUCAUUACACUAGAUAUCAUCAUCCUCUAUGGUUAACCUUGUGAACACAUAUACUUACUCUCACACCUGAGCUAUCCCCCGGCGGUCCGGCCGUCAAGCUUGUGGUGUUUGUCGUGUUUACUAUGCAGGAUCAGGACGUCUUUCGUGAUUGGGACGUGAAGAAAGAUCCUGGCGUUAACAUUGGCGCUAGAAGGAGGGGAGUUUUAGUGUCUUGAGUAUUUUUCAAUCACAGAUUGUGUUUUAUUCUAUUCAGUAUUCAUGGUGAAGAGUAGAACACCUACACCUGAAGGGCAGCCGAUGGCUGUCAGUGAAUCAGCACCGCGAGUGUCUGCCAAAGAUCGUUUGGGACCUACAAUAAGUGUUCACGCUAGCACAGCAUCCAAACGUUCACCUGAAGAUUCUCGGCCGAGGGAGGUAGGCAAAGCUAAGUGUAAGCUAGUCUUUCCGAUGAAGAAGGGGUCUGGCCAUGGUCGGAAACGAGUAGAAGGCACCUCGCAAAGGCACCUCGAUACCGAGAUGACCAGGACGCAAAGGCCUCCCGGUUGGCUAAGAUGGCAGAUGAAGCGGAUAGAGCUAUGGAAGUACUCGUGAAGCAGCGUCAGGAUAUAGCUGAGCAGAUGGCUCGUAUGGCAGAGUUGAGAGCUGAAGAGCUCAAUUAUGUUCAAUCCGAAGAGCAAGGGCAUCGGAGUGGGAAGAAACCUGCUCAUUCAGGGCGAGAGUCUCUGGGCCGAACCAGAGAAAGAAGAAGAUCCCGAAGCCCUACUCCUCAGAGAUCAAAGAUAACCCCACUCCCUGCCGAUUCUAGAGGACAGAGGCGAAUCGAACGAAGAGGUCGAUCUAAAGAUCGCACUUCUGAGCAUACAAGGAAAGCACUUGUUGUUGCACAUUCUCACCAUUGCGCCCGAGUUCAAAGACGAAGUAUAUCAAGAGGACAUACUCCCGAGAGUCUACUGAGGGUACACCGCCCUGUAGACACUCGUCAUCGAAAGAGUCCCUCUAAAGUUGAGGAUUCUAUUGAAAGAAAUUGGUCUACUCAGAAGAGGAAGGAGUCACCAGAAAAGGAGGCAUCAUCUCAACCAGAAGGCAUGGAGUAUCUGGUUAAAGAAUUAAAGGAGCUUAGAAAGCAGCUUGCCGAAGUACAGAAAACAAAAGACACUCUGGGAAAGAAGGCAUCCCCUUUUUCUGCGGAGAUUCUUAAAGAAAAAGCUGAUCCCAACAAGAAGUUGCCCCAUAUCGAGAGUUAUGAUGGAUCGGGGGAUCCUUAUGACCAUAGUCAGGCGUUCGACCGACUCAUGGAUUAUUAUGACUUUAGCGAUGCUGCUAAAUGCCAUACUUUUGUCACAACACUCAGAAAGGAUGCCCGGCAAUGGAUGAGGACCUUACCCUCGGAUUCAAUCUCAUCUUGGGAAGAUAUGUGCAGUAAAUUUCAUGCUCGCUUUGGGAGCAACAGAAGAAGGGGAAAACCAACUGGUUCGUUGGCUCAAGUUCGCCAGUUUUCUAAUGAUUCUUUGGGUCAGUAUGUGAAGCGGUUUCGUGAAGCAGUCGGCCAAGUGGAAGACCUGAACGAUCUACAAGCUGUGAGACUGUUUCAGAAUGGGUUAGAUUUGGUCAAAUCGAAAAAGUUGGUGAAAAAACUAAUGUUCAACCAUCCGAAGAGUCUUGCUGAAGCCUUUGACAAAGUCGAAGGCUAUAUCGUGGUGGAGGAAGCCAUGAGCAGCCUCAAACGUCCUUCUUCGGACUGGCUUAAGGAGACAGAUCGGGAUAAAACCGAUGGAGACCAGAAGAAGAAUAAAGGGAGUAAAGACCGUUAUGAGGGCGGGUCGAAGAGAUAUAAUAAUUGGAAACAGGGUGGAGGACGUUCGUUCGCUCCAGCCCAGAGAGUGAAUAGGACGUACACGGUACUCAAUGCAGACAGGGCUGUUAUCUUGGAUCAGAUUAAAAAUCAACCUAUCUUCGAGCCACCUAGAGAUAACAUUAAGCCCGGAAAAGGGAAUCCUCGCAAAUAUUGUGAUUACCAUCAAGCUUCGGGUCACGAUACUGACGAUUGUGCCAGUUUAAAAGACUUCAUUGAAAGAAAGGUACAAGGUGGGGCUUUAGUUCAGUAUGUGGCUGCCAGAACUAAUCAACAGCAGGACCGAUGACCUGUUUCGGCAGCUCAACCAGUUCAGCAAGCGUUGCCAGCUCCGGGACAGCCUGCAAGGCAUGUGAUAGAUGUCAUCACUGGGGGUACUUCUGGUAAGCUCGUGGGAAAAAAGCACCGAAGCCAUUUGGAUUCGGUCAUGUCGGUGGCGGGUACCUUCCCGAAGACUGAUAGACCUUAUCUGAAUGCGGUAAUCUCCUUUACUGAUGAGGAUUAUCCUUCAGAAGUCAUCAAACCGCACGAGGGAUCAUUAGUGCUGACCGCACAAGUGGGUUCGGUGGAUAUGAAGCGGAUGAUGGUAGAUUAUGGGUCUUCUGUGGACAUCCUGUAUGCCCACGCUUAUCAAAGGAUGAAUCUAGAUGGGCGCAAGAUGGAAAUAGGGCAGGAGGCUCCUCUGUAUGGUUUUAGCAAUGAUCCGGUUAAGGUGGCUGGAACCAUUGAGCUACCGGUUAUCUUCGGAACGGCCCCUCAACAGGUAGAAAUUAUUUACAAAUUUUAUGUUGUGCAUGUUGAUUCUGCUUAUAAUGCUAUUCUGUGGAGGCCUACUUUAAUUGCUUUGCAAGCUGUAACAUCAAUACCUCAUUUUAAAAUCAAAUUUCCUACGGCUCAUGGGGUUGGGGAGGUGAAAGGAGAUUUGGAUCUGGCCAGAAGGUGUUACAGAAAUGUUGUGAUCACUUCGGGAGUGGGGGUAUCGAAGCAGAAGUAGACCAUGACGAUAGAAAUCGAACCCUUCACUAAGAGUAGUUCCUAGCCAUUAGUCAUGCCAGCUGAAGAGACAGAGGAGAUAGAGCUCAUCCCGGGCAAGGUAGACAAAACAGUGAAAAUAGGUUCGGGUCUACCAGAACCUUUCCGGACGAACCUCAUGGAGCUCCUGAGGUGCUAUGUUGACAUCUUCGCAUGGGAACCUCAGGAUAUGCCAGGAGUAAGCAGAGAUAUUGCUGAGCAUCGAUUGAAAGUAGACCCGUCAAAGAAACCAAUCCGGCAGAAGAGGAGGAUCUUUGCACCCGAACGUCAGCGGAUCAUAGAUGAAGAGAUUGCAAAACUGUUGGCAGCUGACUUCAUCUUUGAGAUUGAUUACCCGCAGUGGAUGGCAAAUGUGGUGCUGGUCCAAAAACAGAAUGGUAAAUGGCGAGUCUGCAUCGACUAUACUGAUCUGAACAAGGCUUGCCCGAAGGAUUUCUACCCACUACCCCACAUUGAUUAACUCAUUGAUGCCACUUCGGGGUACGCUUUAUUAAGUUUUAUGGAUGCAUUCUCUGGGUAUCAUCAGAUCUCCAUGUGUAAAGAGGAUAUACCGAAGACGGCGUUCAUUACGCAUCGUUCGGUAUAUGCCUAUAAGAAAAUGACUUUCGGCCUCAUCAAUGCCGGAUCCACCUACCAGAGGAUGAUGAACCAUGUCUUCAGAUAUCAGUUGGGCAGGAGUAUUGAGGUGUACGUGGAUGACAUGAUUGUCAAAAGCAUGUUGGUGCAUAAACAUUUGGAUGAUUUAGAGGAAUGCUUUCAGAUAAUUCGCCAUCACAACUUGAGAUUGAACCCCAUUAAGUGCACCUUCGCUCUAGGGGCUGGCAAAUUUCUGGGGUAUCUUGUCAGUCAAAGGGGAAUUGAAGCCAAUCCAGAGAAGAUUCAAGCGAUCCUGAACAUGAAGACUCCUCAGUCAUUUAAAGAUGUUCAACGUCUGACUGGAAGGAUUGCAGCUCUAAGGAGGUUCAUGUCCAAGUCUGCGGAAAGAUGUUUGCCGUUUUUUGAUACGUUGAAAGGGCCGAAGAAUGCAAAGACGUUCCAAUGGACUUCGGAGUGUGAAGACGCCUUUCAGAGCAUCAAGUCCUACUUAUCUUCGGCACCUUUGCUGGUGAAGCCCGCUCCUGUCGAGCCUCUAUAUUUUUACUUAGCAGCUAGCUCGUUGGCAGUAGGAGCAGUUUUGGUGCGUGAAGUUGGGGGUAAGAAGCACCCGGUUUACUAUAUAAGCCAUGUCCUUCGGGAUGCUGAAACAAGGUACCCAAACAUUGAAAAGUUUGCUUUUGCUUUAAUAACUACUAGUCGAAAGCUUAGGCAAUACUUCCAGGGUAGAUUGGUAAUAGUAUACACAGAUCAGCCAUUAAAGAAGAUUAUGAGCAAACCGGAGGUAUCGGGGAGACUAGCUGCAUGGACGAUGGAGUUGUCUCAAUUUUUUAUUAAAUAUCGUCCCCGAACCGCCAUCAAAGGUCAAGCCUUGGCUGAUUUUGUGGUUGAAUGCUCGUUUUCUGAAGCUGAUGAAGUCGUGGCCGAGGCUGAAGGAUCUGACAGGGCAGUUACAGUUCUUCAGCAGAAAGAGAGUUCAUGGACGCUGUAUGCAGAUGGGUCUUCUACUACGGACAUCAGUGGAGCAGGGAUUAUUCUGACGAGUCCGGAGAGAUUCAAGGUCCAGCAGGCCAUCAGAUUUCAGUUUAAAGCGACGAAUAAUGAAGUAGAGUAUGAGGCGGUACUUGCAGGGUUACGAUUAGCAAAGAGUAUUGAAGUGCAGAGAAUAGUCAUCUUCAGUGAUUCUCAGUUAGUCGUUAAACAACUCUCUGGGGAGUACGAAGCUUGAGGCCCGAGAAUGAUCAAGUAUUUAACAGAAGUGAAAGAACGGCUCCAGUAUUUCCAGUCCUACGAGUUUCAGGGGGUUAAGCGUAAUAACAAUUCCAUUGUCGAUGUACUCUCCAAACUAGCCACUACGGAUGUUAACAUCUUUGAUGGAUCGGUUUACCUAGAAAUUUUGCAACAUCCUAGUGUUCAUCAUGAAGUGGUAAUGUGCGUUGACCGAACCAACUGCUGGUUAACUCCAUACCUGGAAUAUCUGGCAGAUGGCGUCUUACCUUCGGAUCGGAUGCUAGCCAAGAAAGUCAAGUACAAGAGUGCUAAUUUCGUUCUAAUUGAUGGGGAUCUUUUUUAAAGGGCCUUCUCCUCUCCACUAUUGAAAUGUUUGACUCCAUCUGAAGCUGAAUACGCUCUCCAAGAAGUACAUGAAGGCAUCUGUGGCGACCAUAUGGCCGCUAAGUCAUUAGCCUAUAAAGUACUUCGUCAAGGAUACUACUGGCCUACCAUCUUCAAGGAAGCGACUGAAUACGUCAAGAAGUGCGAGAAGUGUCAACUCAACAGUCCAAUACCGCAUCAGCCACCAGAAGAGCUAUACUCGAUCUUAUCUCCUAUACCCUUCGCUGUCUGGGGGGUUGAUAUAUUGGGUCCGUUACCAAAAGCAAAAGGUCAAGUCAGUUUUGUUAUAGUUGCCAUCGACUUUAUGACCAAAUGGGUAGAAGCAAAGCCACUUAGGUCAAUAACGGAACAGGAGUACUUGAAAUUUUUGAAAGAGUCAGUAGUAUUCCGUUUUGGAAUUCCUAAGGUGGUAAUAUCGGACAAUGGACGUCAGUUUGUUGGGUCAAAAUUUGAAGCAUUUUUGAAAGAACUGGGGAUUCAGCACAAAAAGACUUCAGUAGCUCAUCCUCAGUCAAACGGACAGGUUGAAGUGACCAACAGAACGCUGCUGAAUGGGAUCAAGCGCAGAUUGGACGAAGCUAAGGGCAGAUGGCCAGAAGAGCUGCUUAGUGUGAUAUGGGCUUAUCGGAUUACUCCGAGGACUACAACAGGGGAUUCACCUUUCAAAUUGGCCUAUGGUACUGAUGUCUUAGUCCCAAUUGAAAUUGGAUCUCCAAGUCUUCGAGUUAGUCAAUUCAGAGAGAUUUACAAUGAAGAAGGGCUGAAGGCCAAUCUUGAUUUGCUUGAAGAGGUCAGAGAAAUAGCCUUAAUCAAAUUGGCAGCCUAUCAACGAAGAGUAGCUAAACAUUAUAAUAAGGGGGUAAAGCUUCGCAGAUUUGAAGUAGGAGAUUUUGUCCUCAGAGAGUCGAAGCAUCUACACCUCAGAAUUUGGGAAAACUGGUGCCAAAUUGGGAAGGACCGUACAAAAUCACUGAAGUGCCGAAACCGGGGACUUAUCGGUUGAAGGCAUUAGACGGGUCAGUAAUUAAAAUACUUGGCACGCUGGCAGGCUUAGGAAGUACUUUCAAUAAAUUCAAUGUCAGUACAUCAGAAGUCUGUAAAUGUUUACAUCAUCAUCAAUAAAAAUUCCUUUUUUCUCUAAAAACAAAUUCGGUCUCCGUUACUGAUCAGUUCAAUGGUGUUUGGAGGUUCGGGAGGACUCGCUGACCAUUCGAUGGUAGCCUCUUCGGCAGGUGGUCACUUAGACCUUUUUAGGACCUUCGUGGUAGGCAAGUGUCAUCUCUAAGGCAUUGUCAGGCCCUUCGUGGUAGGCAAUUGUCAUCACUUAGACCUUGUCAGGCCCUUCGUGGUAGGCAAGUGUCAUUUCUAAGGCAUUGUCAGGCCCUUCGUGGUAGGCAAUUGUCGUCACUUAAUUAAUAGUUCGGGUUGAGUCCAUGAAAAAGCUUGUACAUGUUUCCAGUUGAAUUAAUAUUGAAGUAUUGACAGAAAGUAAAUGCACCGAAGUCAUAAGAGACGAAAUCACAUUUCAUUGAUAUUUAAAUUUGAUUACAAAAUUAGAAAACUUUUAUACAAAUCCUAAAAAAUUGAAUAAAGGGGAAAUCAUCUUCAGACAGCGGCUUCAUCUUCGGAGUCUAGCAAGGAUGGAUCCAGUUGGGCUGCCUCCAGCUUCUCCUUGCCACGACUCCGGCAGAGCUCAUAGCUUUCAGAAUAUAUUUUCAUGAUCUCUUCGUUUAUUUCAUCCGAGUUCCGAUACUCUUCGCAGAUCUGUUUGCGAAGGUUAUCGGUUAGAGGCGGCCCAAUGUCCCGAAGAGCCUUGAGUUCUCGGAUUUCUUCUUCAAGUUUUAUGCGCAGAUCCAGAUGACGAAUUUCAUCUGACUCCAGUUUUCUGAUGGUUUUAGUCAAGAUCGUGGCAUUAGCCUUCAGCUCGUUGAUCUUGUCCAUCCUUAUUUCGCUCCUCUGAACCAAGUUAACAUUCAUCUUCACAAUCUCUUCAUAUUGUGCUUUAGUAGACUUCAGUUCUUCAUUGGAGGUCUUCACGUCUUCCUUGGCUUGGGCCAACUCUUUCUGAAGUCCUUCAUUUGUAUGAAGGAUGCCUUCACAUUGGGUCCUUUCCCGAGCCAAAGCAGACUUUAGGAUGGCGUUCUCCUUCCUCAAGGCCUCUUCUUCGGAUUCAGCCUCGAGGGACCUCGGACGCAGACGCCCGAAUACAGCAUUUGCCUAUACAUGUUCAAUAUUAUUUGAUCAGUUUCAGAUGUAUAAGUACGAAGAUAAAUACGGAAAUAAAGGAAAUAUCAUUUACCUUCGCCAAGUAGCUCAUGCCUUCGCUAAGUAGAUCUCCGUUCGAACUAUUCCCGAAUCGAUGAUCAUCGGUCUCACGAACGAAGGCCUCGAACAGUUGAAAGGGGAAGUUGGCAUUGAAUCGAGGCCACAUGGUUGGAGAGGCCAUGGCGUCAUGCUGAAAUUCGGUGGUCGUUUGUCUUGGGGGAGAGGGCAUAGGUUGAUUGCGAAUCGGCGAAGGAUCCGCAUGUACCGUUUCUGGAGAAGGAGACUGGGCAGGAAUGGGUUCGGGUGUCGAGGAAGGAGCAGAGGUUGAACCUGGCUGGCUGUCUGAAGGUUGUUUUCUUUUUCGGGAUAAUGUGGGGACAGAUUCAUCCAGCUCAGCAUCAGGUGUUCGAGUUUCGGUUGGAACUAUCGGGGGGUUAACCGUUGAAGACGAUGGAACUCGGAGCUCUUCGGCAGUGAGUGGGGUUAUCUUUGAUCUUAUCUUUUUAGCGCGGAGAACUCUCGCCCGAUCUUGCAGAGGUAUGUCAAGUAUGCUCCUCUGAAUUGGAGCUGAUUCGAAAGGUGUAAUAACAGGGUUUGGUGUAGGAGUUGCUUGUGGGGUUGCUUCGAGAAGUAUUUCCGGGUCGCUUUCGGGAGUAAUUUUCGGUCGGGUGAAUUUGGCUUUCUUGGCAGUUUUCUUUCUUCGGCGAGGUCUGAGAGAUUCUUCGGGAAUGAGAGGUUCAUCAGCUUCGGGCUCAUCAUUCUAAAGAAGAUUGAUUAGUGGAUCGGUGGUGGGGAGAUCUGCUCGGGAAGACUCUUCGAUAUGAAGCUCUUCACUCGCAUCCGUAGUCUUCCCUGCCAAGAAGUCUCCUAAUUCUUUCACUUCUGAAGAAGUUGGUUUGAUCAAAGACACUGCAAAUAACCAUAUAUUAAAACCCAUGUCACUUAAAUAUCUCAAAAAACUGUAUUACAGUGUUGUUCGAAACUUACGUUUGUGAUCAUAUAGCCAGGCUUGUUUAGUCAGAAGUGUAAAACUCCAUUCUUUUGGAGGAAUCUUCUUCAAAAAAUCUCCCAUCUCCCUUACACGCUCUUCGAGAAUAUCUCCGAAGUCAGCAGAGAUCCGAUCUGAAGUAGUCCAAUCUGGAAGAGAAGAGAUUUCUGGUCCCGUGACAAAAAAACCACUUCUCAUGCCAUCCCUUAUUGCUUGAAGGGGUACUCAUCAGGGACCUUUUCUCAAAUUUGGAAUUGGGACGAGGGGAUUGUUUUCUCAGCAUCUUGAAGCCUCGUUCUCGGGACUUACCGGCUGAGAAAAGGGUGAAGAAGAUGUCGACGGAGGGAGGAAUCCCUAAUUCAUGGCAGAAGGCAAUGAAUGCCAAGAUGUGGAUGUGGGAAUUGGGCACCAGUUGGGCGAAACCCACUCCUAUGAACCCUAGGAGGGUAACAACAAAAGCAUGAAGGGGUAGACGGAUCCCCUUUUUGAGGAACGUAGCCGGCAUGAAUUCCCAACCGUCCGGUCGCUGGUACAUUCGCUCUUCAGGAGCAGGAGCCCUUAUAGCGUAAUUAUCUGGAAUAUGAUAACAAGUCCGGAGGAUACGUAUCUCAGAUUUCGUGACAGUGGACGGAAUGUUGGCAUGAGGAAACUGUUCCCCAUCCUUGAAAAAAUCAGCAAGAGAAGGAGGGUUUGAACUCGAACCCUCUUGGUUAGGGUUGGGAUUGGGGGAAACUGUGCUCACAGGAGUCGCACGAAGAGGAGAAUUUUGGUUAGGGUUCACAGUCGCCAUUGUUGAGAUCUCGUAAGCUAGAGAGAGAAGUUCUGGGAAAGAGAAGAAAGCUCAAAGGUUCAAAGUUCAAAUUGGCAGGUAAAACUGUCAGAAUUGAUAGAGUUUAUCUUUUAUACUGACGGUUACACGGUUCACGAGGCCAGCAUUUUAAAUGAUAAUAAUGAUGAGAAUUCGAAUGGGAAGCGUCCGGAUCAAUCUUUGGACAUUUUAUCAGAUUGGGCCUCUCGGUUGGACUUCUGAUUUUUAACCUGUCCUGUUCAAUUUCAAUCCUUUAUUGACUGGGCCUUUUACUCUGGACAUUCAGCCGUUCCCCGUAUCACUUUAUGCACCAUAGUGGGUAUGUCUCAAUUACUUCCUGUUUUGGGCCUGUAGUAAAUUCUAAUAUCAUAGACCAUUUAUAGUUUUCCAUUAAACAUUCUGUUUAACAAAAAACUAGGGGGCAAUGUUGGGUCAUGAUAUUUCCUUUAUUUGGGCCGGGUGAAUUGGGCUCACUUAUUAAUUUAAUCCAUUGGGCUUUUAUAAUUAAGCCAUAAGGCUCGUUGGGUCUGUUCACUGUGUUAGCUUUAUUUAAUCCUAUAAGAUCGGGUCGGUUCGUUGGAUUAACCUGUUGGAUCAUUUAAUAUCUAUUACUUUGACUUGUAAUGAUGAUAUAGUAUGACAGUUGACUGAGUUACCUGCCAUGCAUUAAUGUGGAUGGGAUUAUAGCCGGUCGGCGGCAUAAACAGUGACCAAAAGUAGUGGGUAGAUUGCAGGCAGACGGCAGAACCCAUCAGAUCAUGGGGGCCGUGUCAGGAGUAGUGGGUGGCACGAUAAACCGAAAAAAGAGAGUGUAAUCUAUCAACUAAGUCUUCACAAGGAGGUACAUUUUUCAUAUAUCCAUACACACACAACUGAGAAUUAUCAUCUCUCUCAUUACACUAGAUAUUAUCAUCCUCUAUGGUUAACCUUGUGAACACAUAUACUUACUCUCACACCUGAGCUAUCCCCCGGCGGUCCGGCCGUCAAGCUUGUGAUGUUUGUCGUGUUUACUGUACAGAAUCAGAACGUCUUUCGUGAUUGGGACGUAAAGAAAGAUCCUGACGUUAACACUAACCUCAUAAAAUAUUCAUAUAUUCUUAUACUCCUACCUAACACCAACUGCAAGGAGUGAUGGUCACACGGUAGCUAAAGCCCGCGGGGUUUAAUUUCUCAAAUAACAAUUUCUUUUAUAAAAAUAAUUUAAUUAUAUAUAUAUAGAAAAAUAAUAUUUUUACAUAAAAAAAUAAUAUUUUUAUACGUAUUGACGUAUGUGGAACCUACUCAAUAUUCAUACAAAAGAGAGCAUGUGAAAAUAUUGUUUUUUUAAUGUAGAAAUCAAUUCUUUUUAUAUAUCGAGUAAAUUUAUAUCAAAUGAGAAUUGUAACGUGGAACAAGAACAAAAAUAUGUAUGUCCCUUACUUACACUAUGUUAUUUCAUGUAUCACAUACGUCGUUAUUUAAUAUCAACUUGUCGUUAUAUAUAAUACUCCCUCCUUCUAAUAUAUAUAUAUAUAUAAUCCGGAUCAGGUUUGGACUCCCGCAUUUUAACAAAAUUUAGAUCUUUUUUUUUAAAACAACUAAAAAAAAUAAAAAAUUAUGGAACUUGAAUUUUUACAUAAUACAGUGUUUUGGGUGUGAUUUGGAUACAUAUAUCAAAAUAUGUCUGUACAGUCCGUGCAGACUUUACAUACAUUUUUUGGUAUAGGUAUUCAAAUCACGCCCAAAACAUUAUAUUAUGGAAAAAUUUCAGUUCUAUAAUUUUAUUUUAUUUUAUUUUUUUAGUUGUUCUACAAAAAAAAUAAAAAGUAAAAAAAUUCAGGGUCCGGAUUUUGGACCUGUCCGGGAGUCCAGACAGGAUCCAUUGUGUAUAUAUAUAUAUAUAUAUAUAUAUAUAUAUAUAUAUAUUAUUUGUCAUAAUUUUUUUUUGAUUUGUCGAAAUUUAUUUGUUAUAUUUCUAUUUUAAUACUAUUUUUGACUUUAUUCUUUCAAUACUAUUCUCAUUUAAUUUUAUAUAAAAAAAAUUCAGUGAAAACACAUAAUAUACAUAAAAUAAAUAACACUAUAAAUUUUGACAUUGAAAACACAAUCACACACAUGUUUCCCUUCCGUCUCUUUUAUUUUAUUGGGUAAUUAAGAAUAAUUUUUUUUUAAUAAAUAUGUAUUUUUAAACAAAGACAAAUAAAAUUAAAAGUGAUUAAUAUUUUUCUUUAUGAGAAUCUUGACGUUGCGCAAUCCUUUUAAUUAUAUCCCGAUUAGAGAUUUUAUUAUGAUAAAAUACAAAAAAAAGAAAAGGAAAUAGGUUCACAUUUUAGGGCAAAAAAGUUAUCAAAAGUAGAGAGAGAGAGAUGCUUGUUGACUGGUUAGGCCAUUCUACAGUGGUAGAUUGCUAUAAAUAGAAGAGUUGGGCAGGGGCGAAGAACCUUGGGAAACACACCCCUGCCCUCUUCCAUACCCUAUUUUUUCCAAAACCAUCAACUUGCCUUGCCUGCCUGGUCAGCAGACUGCCCCACUUGAUAAACUCUAUUCACUGAAUCCAACCCCUCUUUUCCACUCCUUUUUCCAUAUUUAACUCCUAUCCAUUUCAUUCUUGCAAAAAUCAAUUCCAUUCAUACCAAGGAAACACACGGACCGAAACAAUACCAAAAUCAAACAUCACCAUCAAAACCUUCAUCUUCAUUCAUUCAUCCAUCAUCGAAAACCCCUUUUCUCUUACCAAAUCUCAAAAGCAUACUGACCCAUUUCUUGUAUUCUAUUUUCUUGGCCUUGUUUUCAAGUGAAAAGCCAGAAACCAAAGAAUUGAAGAGUACCCACCAAAGCCUGCAACAUCUUUAUCAACAAACUCACAGGUAAAAAAUCCACCUAAAUAUCUAGCUCUGUUACUUGUUUGAUCUUCUCUAACUGUUAAGUUUCUUGAUCCCAAAUAAUAAGCUUUGUUUUAAGAACUGGGUAUUAUUCUCCUUUUAUUAUAUUUCUUAAGUUUUUGAAUUGAUUAAGCUAACUAAGCAAAUACCACUAGGCAGUGUUAAAAUAUAAUUAAGGUCUUCAAAAGUUUGAAUCUUUAUGAGCCCUGGUAAAGUUUUGCACCAUUUAGAUUGUAAAUAGUUGCUAUAUGUGUCUCGGUGAUUAAUUGUCCAUUAAUAUAUCUUCUUGUAGUUUUUAAGGUUAAUGUAAAGAUUAUAGUGAUUCCUCAAUUUUCCCUCUCUUUCUUCCUGUCAUGUUGUGGGGCGCUUCUUGUUUAAAAAACAUUUUUAAUUAUAUGAAUUGAACAUUAUAUUUUGUACUACUGCAAUUUAAUCUGAUCUUUCAAAUUGUUAUGUAUUUUGUAACAGUUGUAUAAUUUGAGGACAAGGUGCUUGCUUAGCAUUUGAAGACAUCCCUAAAUUUGUUGACACAAAUCUAGAAUUGAAAUUUACAUUAAUCUUGGGAGUUGGGAAUAGAAUUUGUUUUGUGGCUUAGGAGUUGUAUAUUGUUCUUCCAGAUAUGGGUUUGAACCCGGUUCAUAUUCCUUGGAACCCACAUUAUAGGAUUUGUGUACUUGCAUUGGUCUGAAGGGUUUGCACAAGAUCUCUCUCUCUAUUAUUGCUUCAUCUGUAAGUCAAAGGAAUUUAUGAGAAUCGGGUGUUGAACAAGAUUUCAAUUUGUAAAUCUUGGAUUUCUUACUAGAUAGUCUUCCCAUUGCACAAUUUGUAAAUACUCCGUAAUCCGGUAUAGUCUCGGCUGCACAUCUGCUGCAAGUAUUCUGAGGUUCGCAACCCUUUUAAUUACCUCAAAAGGAUUUGAGCUAAAACUUCCAUUCCCAUUUGUUGCUUAAAUGUGAUUUGAAACCCUUGAAGCAGAACAAUUAAUAUUGCCAAAACGUUCGACUAAUCUGCAAGACCACCAUUCCAGAAGAGCAAUGAUGGAUGCAAGAACAAUGAACAAUUCCAAUUCUCCUCCAUUUCCAAGAAAGGGUCCUCAUACUACAACUACAUUUGUUGAAAGUAGAAAGAUAGAGUAUCAAAGGUCUUUCUCACAAGGGCAUGGCAGGAAAAUGUUCUCCUCCAAAAGCUAUUUUAGCUUAGAGUCAUUAUUUAUACUAAUCUGUCUGACGGCUUCGUUGCUGGUUCUGCCGCUGAUACUCCCCCCAUUACCGCCCCCGCCUUUCAUGCUGCUGCUGCUUCCGAUUUGUUUACUAGUAGUACUCGUAUUCUUAGCAUUCAUGCCCUCUAAUGUCCGAGAUGUUACUUAUGCAUAAGUGUAAAUGGGGGUGUUAAGCAGAGAGAAGCUUGCACCCCACAUUACAAUUCUUGUUUACUCUGAUUUAAAGGAAAUUACAGGUUCUUUCAUUUCUUAUUAGUUGAGUUUCAUGGCAAUGUUAUAGCACUUGUGUAGUUAUGAUAUCCAAACCAAUAUAGGGUUUGGUGCAUAGUGUUGUGACACAUUGUAAGCUCAUAUUAUCAUAUCUUAAAAUAAAAAUAUUUUCUUCUACAUUCUGUAUUCCCCCCUCGUUUAUUUUUUCCAUCGACAUUGUAACAGACUGGUAUAGUAUCUUAUGUGACCACAAUCUGAAAAGAUCAAAAAGCAGAAGCCACAGAAACUUAAGCCUUUUGCAAGAUGGCAUUAGGGUUAAUUUUACUUUAUAUUUAUUAGGAAAUUGAUAUUUUUAUGUUACUUUUUUAUAUUUACACAUUAAAUAUCGGUAUAAAUGUAUAGCGACGGUUUUUCUAUAGCUACGGCUUUCAUGUGAAAAUAUCAAAAAAAUUAUGUAUAUCAGUUUCCUAUUUAUUAUUUUCAAAAUACUUCAAUGUAAGUUGAGUUCAAUGUAUCAGCUUUCAUUUGUCCUGGCUCUGGUAAACUUGUCAAAGUUAUUGUCUUACAGUUGUACAUACAUUAUUCUUUGUAUGGAACUUUUACCAGGUGUAAUGAACCUAUAAAGAGUUAUUUUCUUACAGCUGUACAUUCAUCCUUCUUUGUAUGCAACUUUACCUGGUGUAACAAGGUUCUUGCUAAUUUAGUUGUAGAAUGAACCUGGAAGAAAAAGCAACUGGCCAAUAAUACCCCUCAUGCUGUUGAGUCUAAAGUUUACAUCUCAGAAGCCUUGGUGAAUGCUGUUAUAUAUCUUACAUAAUAGAUUUAAAAUGCAUAUGCAAUGAACAUUAGGUUACACAUUAAAAAGCAGCGAAGCCUUGAGGUACAUUUUCAAUCAACAAGCUCUAUAAAUAAGCCUUGGGAGUUCCAUCACCUUACGCCAAGGGUGAGAGACAGAAAGGAGGCAGAUGGAAUCGUAAAGAGUUCAAAAUUUUCAGACAUUAUAUAUCUUGGCUAAGCAACACUUGGCGAAUAAAGCAAAAAUGGAGGAAGAUGAUGUUCCAAAACAGCCAAAAGUUCUCUUCGCUGCCCUGCCUCUUCCAAUGUCUUGCCUCCAAGCCUUCUUGCCGCUUCCACAAGUUGUCCCCUUAGUCUUUGUGAUAACAAACAGCCACCUGCCUUGACAGAUUCUCUAUACAGCGGCAGGUAUGCUAUUGCCACCCUUAAAGGGGCUGGGAGAUCCCUCAAGCAAAUAGGAGAUUCACCCCACUUCAAAAUUCUAGUCAAGUUUAAGUAGUGCUCUUGUCCUUGUGUCAACCCAUUCAAGAAAGCUACCUCCGACCAGUGCUCCCGAAGAAAAUCCCUGAGCUGAGGAGCAACUGCCUCGUCAUCAGACCUAGAAAUGCCGUCUGCCACAGCAUAAGUAGCAGCAGGAUCUCCAAGAAAGUUAGACUGAAGGAGAAAUGCUACACCGUCAAGGGACCCACCGCUUCGUUCACCAGCAGCCUUUAGAAUCUCAAUGCUAAGAGCUGCAAGAACAUGAUGAGGGACAUGAGGAAGGAGAUAGGCAGCAAUCUCAACUUUACUGCUGGAAGUGGCAGCUGUGAGAGCUAGACAAAGUUCCAUGUCUCGGCUGCCUCUCUUCACAAACCACUGAACAACCUGUAGGCAACCCCUCUCAGCAGCUCUCAUUAAGGGACCCAAGAAAGCCAUCGCAUUCCCUUCUUCAACUAGACAUUCCAUAGUUCCAAUCUUGCCAUAAUGGGAAGCGAAGCCCAAAGCCAGAUCAACAUCAACAUCCAAGCUGUUCCUUUGAGCAAUCUACAAAAAUGCAUCCCAAAUAGCCAAAACAAACAUAAGCAGUAUUGCUACAGAACUUGAGCCUAAAAACAGUAGGAAAUCAAAUACGGGGAAAAGGAGCAGAUGCGUUUCAGAUUUGAUAAAUAUAACUUCUUCAUGUAUUCAAAUAACAAGACCAGGGGAUUUAAGUUAUUUCCCUUGUAAUUUACUCUAUAAUGCAAAAUAAAUAGUCAACAAGAAAGUCAGUAUUAUGCUUUCAACAUCCCUCUCAUUUUGGAUGGUACUAAUUUUCCAUGAAUGUGAAAAAGAAAUUAAUAUGAAUUAUUAAUAAACGAGGAAAGAGUUUCAUCUCUUUAUAUCACCCUUAUCAAUAAGGCAAGCCAACAAGUAAAUAUUAUGAAACCGGAUCAGUUUACCUAGACUGAGUUCAGUCCCAUUUCCUAGGUUUUCUAUAUUGUUGUGUUUUGCUAUUUUCCGCUCAAAAGUACCAAUGCCCCAACUAUGGAGAAUAUAAAUCAAUCAAGGUACAUGCUGAAUGCAAAAAAAAAAAAUUGAUUUAAGUUGCGGCAACUAAGAUGACCAAACCGAAGUACCACUAGACUUCGCGUUGCGGCGCAGGACAUGUUUGGCAGAAGAAUGAUGCAUAGGGAGAAGAUAACCGAGCACAAUGACAAAAUACAGUUCAAGAACGAUUUCCAAAAUUAUCCAUCAACUUAAAAGCCAACCAAUAUUUACCACUGUUCAUCCAAGGUUCUAAUUGACUUUCAAAGAAAAAACAUAACAAACGACUUUAUAAUGGCCAUGGUAAGUUACUUUACCUGUAACAAGAUGCGAACAAGCUCUGUGCUUCCAAAACGAGAGGCUUCGAGAAAACAUUGGUUGACAUUGUCUGCACCGCCCUCUACCAAUAUGCCCAGCAACCCUUGGAUUGCAGUUGCUGAUAUACCUGAUGCCCAACCAGGAUCAAAUGAACUAGAGAAAAGGGUAAGGGGAAAACAAGCUGCAUCAAAGGCCUCCGUAAAGUCCUUUCCUGUAAGAUGGUUGCCAGCAAGAUCCAGAAAUGACUUGAAUGCAGAUAACUGCAGUUGAAUCUGGACAGCCGAGUUCUGAUUGAUGCCAUCCCUAUUCCCUUGACAACGAGAAUGAAAACCUAUACAUUUCAGAGCCCAUUCAGUGAACUUCUGAACCUUGGCACCAGCUUCAGCCUUCAAAACCUCAUCCCCAUUGCAUUCUUGCAGCCGCUCGUGCAACCUGCUAUAAGGACGAGGAAAACUGGUACAUCAACUUCAAGAAAUAAACACCUAACAACAUGCAACAAUCAUACAAAUGUAACUAAAAGAAGAACAACGAAAGUGUUAGCUAUAUGGCAAACAACUAACAUUUUAAGUUAUCCUUAAAAUUACAGGAAGAGUUGGUGAUCCGCUAGUAUAAAAACUUAAAGAUGCACAUAGAAAGGGUAACCUAUAUAGCAAAAAACUAUCAUUUACAGGAAGAGUUGUUGAGUAACUACACGUAACUAAUGAAUUGGUCCGUGCAAAAAAUUAGAAAACAGACAGAAAUAUAUAACUAAAAGAAGAACAACGAAAGAAGGGUGGGGGGAAUAUAGACAACAACUUUCACUUCAGUUCUAUACUUCUAUUGGGUCUUAAUCACAAAAAGGUAAAUUGAUGACCCACAUGUUACUAUUUAUAGGUGAUGUUAAGUUCAUAGAGUAUUUGACUAUUUGUCCUAAGAGUUAUACGAAGCUCCACUAAAAUGACACUUGACCUCAAGCAAGUUGUGUACCAUGUAAAGAAUAUACUCAAAGGUAAGAGCAGAAAUUAACAGUACAAUGCACAAGUCAAAUACUCUCUCAGUCCCUUAAAAAGGGGCUUAGUUUGACCUUUUUGGUCAAAUUGAACAAUUUCAGAAUUAAGUAUAUUUAUUUAUAUUUUCAAACCUAUGAAAAUUGGAGGUGAUAGUAAAUUCAACAUAAUUUCUUAUAGUUAUAGUUUCUCCACCCAUCUCUACAAGAAAAUAGUCUAAAUUUUGAUUAUAAAAUAGACAAUUUGACUGAAAAAGUCAAACUAAGCCAGUUUUUGCGGGACGGAGGGAGUACUACCCAAUAUAAACUCUCCUUGAUGCAUGAAAUGCAUGUAUCAUAUACAUCACAAGUGAGUGCUGAAAGGCCAAAUGAGAUAUAGGUCCAAAAUGUCUUACUUGAACAUUCAACAAGUGAUCGAGUCUGGGAAUUUUAUAUUAACAACACUUUAUUCCAGUAUCGACGUCACUCAAUUUAGAGAAUAAAUCAAAAAUGAAUACCUACACCCCUACACAUAAUAGUCCAUACACCACAAAAUGAAGAAUUUACUGUAUGGAAGAGGGAAUUUUUCUCCAGACACACCAAGAAAAAAGAAAGAUAAAAGAAGCAGCUAAUCAAUCUAAAGAAAUUCAUUCAUCAAAUGGUACACGUCUAAAGUAUUGACAAAUACAAUGGUAGUCUUUCAUGGCAGAAGUGUAGAAAGCACUGAAGUUUAUUACGUAGUAAAACAUAGACCCACCAACUGCAAUCCUAAAAACAACCACAAUGCUGCAACCAGAAACUAAACUUCAAAGGUAGUCAGUGAAGGCUAUCAAACAUGUUCAGUUGCCAAGGUGAUCCAGGAUAACAACUAAAGGAUGAAAUCAUAAAAACAUGCAACACGUAAACCGUCUUCAUCACCACUGUAUAAUCCCACAAUGAAUAGAACACUGUCACUAGAAAUGGAUUUCUAUCAUCACUAUCUUGAACUUGAUUCAUUUUUACAUAUAAAGUAAUGGUAAGAGAAGAAAUGAAAAUCACAUGAACAAGCCGUAUGAAAAGGAGGAAAAGGAACCGACAAAAAAAAUAAACAAAGAAUUACCGUUGUGCCAUCACGGACACAGUAUCUGCUAGGCUCAUUGUCCGACUUUGGCAAGCAGAGACACAGGAUGCAAGGAACGAAGUUCUGAGAGCAGCUCUUGUGAAGUCAUAAGCACCAUUAGCAAUAAUUUUAUUAAUUAGUCCUGUUAUCCCAUACAGCUCCUGCUGUGUGCUCAAAAACCAUAUCGAAUCGAGCGAAAUGCACAAGGCAUCAUUAAGAGUUUGUGGAUCUGCCAGCAAGAUAAGACUCUCUGCAAGUUCCCAAUCGUGGGAACUCACAGCACCCUGAAACAAUCGCCCCAACUCAAUCCUGUCUUGCCUGCUAAGUUUCUUCUCAUGGCCAAUUUUCUCAUUAUUGAUGAGUUCGGAUUCUGAUGUGGCCAGUCUGGAUUUCAGUUUUUUGGCAGCACCGCAAAUACAACCAUCCGCAGUCAUUCCUGCAUAUUCUUCAGUCUCCAGGGGACCUUCCCUUGAAAACACUAUGUUGCCAUUGCUUGCCUCACCUUUUUCCAAAUUAUAAACUACAACCUCAUUCUUUGCACUACCAGUUUCAAUCUCAUCGGUUUCCAUCUCAGUACACUGAGGUUCAUCAACAGGAUUAGUUUCAUUUCCCAAACUAAGCUCGCAAUCGCUUGCCAUCAUCGAAACUUUCUUAGCCUCCAUUUGUCUUCCUAACUUUCCUCCCAAAUUACAAACAGUCGAUUCUUCCAAGAACUAUGGGGGAUCAUAAUAAGCUCAAUCCAAGGCCAUGUUUAUUUUGUAAGCAGAGAGGAAAAGCCCAAAAAACUCAUUUUCAACAAACUCAUAUUCCUUCCACCAGAUCACAGAAAACCCCAAAGAAAAAAUCUAAAAUAUGAUGCUUUCCUUUUCAAUUGACAAAAAGCCAGAAAAGCAAAAACCAUGGAUAAAUCUAGUGCGGGAAGGACAUUAAAAUGAUGAAAUUAGCAAUAAACCCACCACGGAUAAAUCAAAAUACAAGUUUUUACCAAUAUACAUGUAUGAACUUCCAAUAUAAAGCAGGCAAACAAAGCUCCAUCACAUCAUCAUCCUCAAGAGAAACCCUAAAACCCCUUCUGAAAUCAAAUUCAUAAAAACCGAUCCUUUCCUAGCCCUGAACACCAAUUACAUAGGUCAAUCAUCAUCAACACACACUUUCAUAUGCAUCAAACAAAAAAAAGGACAAAAAAUAAUCAAUCGGUACGUAGGUACAAUUAAUCUGCCUGCAACAAAAUUAAAGAAAAAAAUUAAUCCUAAUAAUAAUAUAAAUAAGAGGAAUCAACCGACCAACCUGCGAAAAUGAAUGCAAGAAUAUAGAAACCACAACAAAAUAUAGAGUGAUGACAGAGAACGAGAGCAAACCUGAUUUGAUUAAUUUUAGUGGGGGAGAAAGUGGGGGAGAAAGUGAGACCCUGGAUGGGCCUAGAGUAUUUUGGCAUCAAAACUGGUUUCUCUCCCCCCGCCUUUUAUUUUUCUUUUCUUUUUUUAUAAUUUUAUAUUGACAAAAAGCACUUGUCGACUUGUAAACAUUAAUCACUGUAUUUUAAAAAGAAUACAAUUAACUCGCUGUGCUUUUUAAAAAAAUAAUCAGACCAAUUCAGUCCAAUUUUUUAGACUAUUUUCCGUCUGUGAAUUUAAAAAAGAAGAAAAAGACGUAAUUACAAAAAAAUGAAUUAAAGAAUGGAUGUAUAAAUACUUUUUUUAAAAAUUCACAGAAAAGGUUAAGAAAAAGAGACUGAGAGCAUAGACCAGAAGGGAGAAAUAAGCAAUGGCCGCAAAACCACUGGCUUUGUCAUCGUCACCGGCUUCUUCCAACUCAAGUGGUGUUUGAUAAAAUUAAGUGUUAAGAUCUGAACAGUUUAGACGUCUGAAUAAUAUAGAACAUCUGAAUAGAAUUGUGUCUGAAUUAAAAAAUAUUGUUUGAUAAUUAAUUUUUUCAAAAUAUCUAAAUAACAGUAUUUUACCAUUCUAACCCUCUGAACAGUUUAAACAAAACCUGUUUGAUAAUCAGAAGUUCUGAAUAGUAUUUUAAAUACAUAUUUAUAAUAUUUUGACCACAAUAUGAUAAAAUAAAAAUGAAAACGUACAAAUUAACAUGCUCACCACCUUUAGCGACGGAUCCAUAAAACAAAACUUUAUUCAACUAUAUAUAUAUAUAUAUAUAGAACACGGAUCCUGUCCGGGAGUCCGGACAGGUCCUAAAAUCCGGACCUUUUUUUUUUUGAAACAACUAAAAAAAAAAUUAUGGAACUGAAAUUUUUCCAUAAUACAGUGUUUUAGAUGUGUUUUUAAUACCUAUACCAACCAAUGUAUGUACAGUCUGCCCAGACUGUACAGAAAUGUUUUGGUAUAGGCAUCCAAAUCACGCCCAAAGCACUGUAUUGUGAAAAAAUUCCAAUUCCAUAAUUUAUUUAUUUAUUUUUUUUAGUUGUUUAAAAAAAAUCAAAAAAANNNNNNNNNNNNNNNNNNNNNNNNNNNNNNNNNNNNNNNNNNNNNNNNNNNNNNNNNNNNNNNNNNNNNNNNNNNNNNNNNNNNNNNNNNNNNNNNNNNNUAUUUUACCAUUUUAACCCUCUGAACAGUUUAAACAAAACCUGUUUGAUAAUCAGAAGUUCUGAAUAGUAUUUUAAAUACAUAUUUAUAAUAUUUUGACCACAAUAUGAUAAAAUAAAAAUGAAAACGUACAAAUUAACCUGCUCACCACCUUUAGCGACGGAUCCAUAAAACAAAACUUUAUUCAAAUAUAUAUAUAUAUAUAUAUAUAUAUAUAUAUAUAUAUAUAUAUAUAUAUAUAUAUAUAUAAGUUUGUCAACUUAAGCAACAUUUUUCAUCGUACAAUAGCUCUAAAGAAGUCAUGUAAUUGUUGUUUACAUCAAAUCCAAACACAAACACCAUGAAAUUAAAUUCCUAACAUGAGAAGAGCCUAAAAGUCCAACUGCAAUUAAGUUCUUGGAACUCCAGAAGCAGCAUCAGAUACACUCAGAUUUCUCCAGAGCUACAAAAGAAAUCAAUGUCAUCAACAAAAAAAGAGCAAACAAGAUGUUCUGGGGACAUUCUCAUUCUUUCCAAAUUCUCAUUCACAUUCUUCAUGCAAAUGAUGUUAAAAACUAAAGAACAUAAUGCAAGAUGCAAAGUUGUGCAAUAAAUUAUCCGCCAGCAACAAGACAGACCAAACAAAAUAACUAACGUGUUCAAGUACCGUAUCAAAUUUAAUGUCGAUAGAUGCAUUUAGGAACAAUGCCUAACAAACAGUUGUAGGCAAGAAUCUACUAUUAAUAUGGUCCCACUGGACAUACUUCAUACAAAGGAUAUCUGGAAUACAAUUUACUUAUCAAAUGUCAUAGCCAGAAAAUAACUUAGGCAAAUAGGAUGUUGCUACUAGAUGGAGGUAAAAGGAUUACAAAAUGACUUUUCCCCAUUGUAGUAAUCUUUACCCCUGUUUGUUUUCUUUAGGAGUGGUAUAUUGAAUCAACAAGGUCACUAUUUCAGUAAUGCUUUUGUCUUCACAGUUUAUAAAUUUCCAAUUCUAUCAACCAUCAAGCAUAUGCUACAUAGUCAUUCUCAUAACACUUAACUGUAAAGCAGAAUUUCAUUGUAAACAGUACAAAUACAAAUUUUGGAAGAAAUAAGUUAUAUUUUGUCACCAUGUAUUCUAGCAUAUCAUUGAGUAUGACAGUCAAUAAGUUGAUUAUUGCAGCCAAUACAAUUAUAAAAAAGUACACCCUUUUACAGAAACAAUACCAUAACUUGCAAGGUAGCACAACAAUAAGAUAUGUUAGACAUAAGCUGCAUAUUUAUUUCAGAACUAUCAGAACAGAGGCUCAAAAUAAUAAAUGCAUCGUCCAAAAAAUGUGUCUCCAAAUACCCAAGUUUGUCUUCAUAAUCACAUAGAAACAUGUAAACUUAUAUUGUUUAUGUAUACUAUUUGGUUGACAAAUUAUAAAUAAAUAAAUAACUCAUGGUUGUCUAUUAUAUGUGUGGCAAGUAUCAAUGACUUUAUAAAAAGUGAAUUAAUUAUUUAUAUGGUGUGAUACAAAAGUGGUAGAAAAAAAAGAAAAAUGAUGAAAGAUUGAGGAAUGAUAAAAGACCGAGUAUAAAAUUAGGAUUUGUUCUUGUUAUUAGAGACUCCACUCUGCAGUAACAACUAAUCCUUCACCCACAAAUACUAGUAUUACAUGAUUCAAAACACAACCCACUACUUAAAAAUCAUAUAAACAAACAAAUUCAAGACAAAACAAAUUGGAAAUUGAGAUCUGAAACAUAUAAUCCGACUCUGUUGCCACUAAAGUCCACCAAGAACAAUCUUUUCCAUUACAAAAAGAAAAAACAAACAACCGUUUGUAAAAUAGAGAGGGAUAAAACUCUGAGCAAUCUUCAAAAUAAGUUUUAUUGCAGAAAAAGAGAAGAUUUUACAGAAAACUGGGUUUAAAAAAAUAAGGAGAAGGGUAGCUUCAUAAAUAGAAGCCGGUAAACUAAAAAGUAGAGAUUCAGCGAUUACCGGCGUAAACAAUAGAUGAAGAAGGGAGAGAAGAUUACCGGCGAAAGAAGACAAAGGAGCAGCAGCGGAUUCGCUAGAGAAAAGCAGCAGCAUCGAUUUGGAGGAGAGAAAUGACGAUCUAGGUUUGAUUUGGGAUAAAAGACAGACGGAAGAGGUUAUUAUUGUCCCAAAAAAAAAUUCUCGCUCAGAGCCUCUUCUGAAUACUUUAGAUUUAUUUUUAUGUCUAACCAAUUAAGAGCUAUUAAGAGGCAAAAAAAAUUUUAACAAACAAGAUUUGCCUCUGACCGAAUCAGAGCCAAAUCUAUUAACACCUAAUAAGAGGUAAUCAAACACAACCUCAGCUUUGGAAAACUCCAAUGUCGAUCUCAAAAAACAUUUCUACUCUUCUCUCUCUUCCUUAUAACCUGUCAAGAAAAGUAAUUUUGCGUGAAUGUUUGUACACAAAAUCAAACCCAGUACACAAAAAUCAAUGAAUUCCCAAAAUGUGGGUUUUGAUUUUACAGAAGAGACUCCUCGAUUGACUCCCUCCUCUUCGAUCCCCCCUCCGAACAAAAAGUUUGGCGUAGUCGCCACAGGCUUACCGAAAUCCGCGCUCUGAUCUCUCCCUCUGGAUCCGCGCUGACUUACCGGAAUCACGAUAUAACCAAUCAUAUUCGAGCAUCAUAUGCUCUAGAUCUUCAUCAUUCGUAACGGAAAUCAAAGCCUCCAGGUCUUCACCAGGCAACUGAUCUUCAACUAAUCUCUCUGACUCUGACGAAAUACACCCUGAUCCAUCUUAGCAAUACGGUUUUUGAUUUGGAAAUUUUAAGUAAGCAUGAGCAAGUAACCAAAUUGGAAUCGAAAUCGUAACAAAAAUUGCACGAACCACACCAAUUAAAACACCGCAUCAACGGUUCCGACAUAUGUGGGAAUUUUAGGUGGGUUGAAUAACUAAAUUUACGGUUCUGAUUUGGUUACUAUCCAAAAUCGCACGCAUAAAACCGAAAUCGCACUAUGUGUGUGUAUGUAUAUAUUAUCUCUAAUAAAUUCUAAAGUUACUUUUCACUUGAACACGCUCAAAGAAAACUCCAGUCUUGCAUUUUAUUUUUUCACCAAUUGAAAGAAGAUGAUUAGACGUUAUUGAUGUGUUAAAAUUAUAUACUGCAAGUGCACAACGUUAAAUUGAAGAACUGACAAGUAUAGGUCGAACCCACAUAGACUAGAUUAAUUUUAAUGUAUCCUUAAUAUCUAUGUUAGGCGAAUAUAAAUAAAGAUUGAAAAUUGAUUAACUAGAAUAUGAAAACUAAUAAUGAGAAAUAAUCUAGGAAUCCGAAUCCAUUAAAUAAUAAACACAAUAUAUAAUUCAAUCUCUUCUAUUUUUAUAACUCAACUAUGAUUUUGAUCUCCCUUUCCUUUAAUUUAGUAAUUUACAAUUAACGUAGGCAAACAUAGAAUAUGAAAAUUUAAGGAUUAAUUAACUAUAACCCAUCAAAACUUCUUCGAGCAAGCAUGAAUUAUAAAAAACUCACAUCUUAACAAUAAUCUAUCAAAACCUCUUAAUUAAUUUAAAAUCACAUAAGAACUAUAAAACGAAUGUAUUUCAAUAACAAAACAUGAAGACGAAAUCAAUUAAUCAUAAUACCAUAAAUAAUAGAAGAGAUGAAAAAUAUUAUCAUGAAUAAUUAUUUAAUUUCAUCUUCAUUCUAAAUGAAAGAAAUUAGCUAGACAUGAAAAAAAAAAUUAAACUAACUAAAAUACAGAAAAGAAGAAGAUUAAAAAUAGAUAAGAAAACUCCCUUUAUUAACAAUCCUCCAACAAGCGUAAUUUAAUCUACUCAUACUUCUAACCUAAAAUAAUACAAUACCUAAUACUUCCUCCUCUCUAAAACAAGAGACCUAUUUAUAGAAAAAAUAACUUUAAACCCUAAUUUAGAUUCAUUGAACUUGGACACUUUUGUUCCAUUUUCAUGCAGGUUUCAACUUCCUAGUGACAAUCAACUUCUCAAAAAGAUCUUCUAGAUAGACUUUUCUUUCUCUUGUUGGAUUUGACUUGCACACCAAAAUUGUUCCAUCUCUUUCCUUCUCCUUGUAGGAUUCUUCUUGGAUAUUCCUUACAUGAAUAAGAGCAUUAAAUAUCCCUUGAUCACCAAGAUUUUGACUUUAUUGGGAUAAAUAUUAAAUCCUAUAAAUUAAAAUAAAACAUAUUAAUUUAAUAAACUAAUAUAAUUAAAAGGAUAAAAUUAGGGAUAAUAAAUGUAUGAAUUAUGUGUCUAUCAGUUAUAAAGUCAAAAAUUAAGCAUUUGAGUUUUGAAAUUUUGGAUUUGUUUGAUGCGUUACUAGAGGGGUUUAUAGCUGAGGGGUCAAAUUCGUUGGUUCGAGCACUUGAUGCAUUGGUUAAAAUCUAUGCUAUAGUAGUAAUAGUCUAAUAGAUUAUUUUUUAUAUUAGGUAUAGUUAGGAUUAUAUUCUAUAAGUCCACCCUGCCAUUCUAUCUCCAGUAUAUACUUUUAAUUUUUAGAGAACUAGAUAAACCUUCUUGCUUGUUAUCGAAUAUAUGGUCUUCGUUGUUUUAUAUAGCGUAUGUUUUAGUUUUAAAAUACAUUUCUUUAUUAUAAACUAAAACUAUUUUAUGUGUCUCACUGUUCUAUGAUUUGAUGGUGAAUUUAACAUAUUUGACAGAAUGAGCUUUGUUUCUAUGCUUGAUAUAAUUCACAUUGCAAACUCUAUCAUUAAGUUAAUUGCUCGAUGUGAGCUCUGUGUUAAAUUAUAUUGAAGGCUUAGACUUUUUUGUUGUUUUAAUUGGUUUUGGAACCGAAAUCGCACCAAUUGAAAUCGCACUGCACAGUUUAAAACUACACCGCAACAAUCACAAGCGAUUUCAUGUGCGAUUUUGAAUUUGUCAAACCAUACCUAAGUGGUUUUGGGUGCGGUUUGAACUUCAAAAUGCACCAAAUCGCACAAUACUCACCCCUAAUUUUAAGAGGAAGAAGAAGCACGCGACUUAUUUGGUCCUGCAGUUCUUCACUCUUGUUUUGAUUUGGUCCCUUUUUAUUUUGUUUUAUGUUUACUUAUUAACAAGUUUUAAUAAUUUUAAUAGUAUGUUUCUUUUAUGUUUAAGCCUAAAUUUAAUAUUAAUGAUUUCAUUAUAUUAAUAUUAAUUUUUUAAAUAAAAAUAAUAAUUAAAAAGAGGAAAAGAGAUGAAGAAAAGAAAAAAUUAUAAAGAAAAUGAAUUAAAAUAUUUAUUUUAAUUUUAUUAUUAUUUUAAUUAUUUUUGCAACAUAAUUAAUGAUUUUAUUUUUUUUGUGUUGCCACAUAAGAAAAUAAUGAUUUUUUGAUUUUUUUUUUCAAUGUCACAUCUAAAAAUAUUUGACGUCCGUCCAAUCUUGGACGGAAUGACCUGAUUAAGAAUUUUUAAAAAGUACAGUGGGCUAAUUGUAUUUUUUUAAAGUACAGUAACUCAAUGCUUACAACUCUACGAACACAGGGGUAAAUGUGUUUUUUGCCAUUUUAUAUUUAAUAAACUUAUUAAGUUAAUUAAUGAUUAAAAAUUUCAUAUUUUUGACAAUUAUUUACUAAUUCAAUAAUUUUAGGAAUCUAUAAUUUUAGGAAACUUAUAUAUCCACAAUAUAAAAUGAUACUUUCACAUGAAAAUCGCAACGAUAGAUUCUAUAGCGACAGUUUUCAUGUGAAGAUAUCAAAAAGUGUUGUGAAAAUAUCAAUUUCCUAAUUUUAGUGUCAAAAAAUAGUUAUAUAUUCUUUAUGAUAACUUAACACGAGUUUAAUAGUUUUUUCUAUCAUUAAAUUAUUUAUAGAUCUAAAAAAUAAAAUUUCUAACAAAAUUUAUACUGAGAAAAUUAAAGUAAAACAACUACUAGAAAAAAAAUAGUUUAAUUGAUUUGUACUUUGGUACACAUUAUAUAAAAUACGAAAAUAUUGUAUGUAAAAUAAAAUAUUCAAAGUAGGACUAUAACUCUCGUAUUUAAAUAAAUGUUUUUCUUUUUAUCAUCCAUUCACAAAAGUGAAAAAAAAAAAUUACACUUAAAUCAGUUCCAAAUAUACGGCCGAAAACUUAAAAUAUUUUGCAACUACUUAUAUUGGAACUUGAUAUUUAAAAAAUAAAUAUAAAAUCUUGAAAAUGCAAUAAUUACGCUAAACUAUAAAGGUAUAAUUAUUUUUAUCAAAUUUUAUGUCUUGAAGUAAAUUAUAUAUUUAAAAAUAUUGAGUUAAUUAAUUACAAUUUAUUAAGUUAUAAUUUCUAUAAAUAAAAAUUAAUUAAUUGAAAAUCUGGUAAUAGCAUUGAUAGCGACCCAGCCGCUAAUAAAGGUAACCGGGAAAUGAAUCGACUCUCAACCCAUCCCCGAAUAGAUACUAGAUUAUAUUCUUAAAAAAUAAUAAUAUAUAUUACGAAUAUUUACGUUAAUUUUUUGAUUACGAAUUAUAUGGAUAAAUAUUAGUGUUAAUUAUUUUUAAAAGAUGUUGUUAUAAAAUUAUGUCUAGAUUCAUAAUUUAAUGGAUGUCUAGUAACUCCCAUGUCCAUUGAAUUUUGUAACUCAUGACUCUUUAGUUUUAUAACUUACUAGUAGUAUUGAUGAUCUUACUUCUAUAAAUAUGACAAUUGUAAAGUGAUGGAGUUGGAUACAUAGAUUAUGAAAAUACUCUCUCUAAUUAUCUUCUUUUAGUCAUCUUGUUUUAGUUAUCUUUCAUAACAUUUUAUAACACGUUAUCAGCACGAUUUGCUUCUCACUUUCGUCUUAAAGCAGAUAAUCAUAUUUGAUUUGUUGGUAAGAAGUAGAAGGUACAACUCUCUAUCUCUAUAUAUAUAUAAUAUAUAUUAUGUUCUAUUAUUACCACCAUAUGAAUAAGAGGUGAUAAGGUAUUAUAGUGUCUUGUAUAUAUAUUUUGUCUAUUAUCUCAGCACCACCAAUAUGUCCAGCGUCCACUAGUACUCUACAGCUAAUGGUGUGAAAUAGGUCAGGAAAUAACAUUGACCACACAACUGAAUAGAUCUGUAGUAAGGUGUACAAUUUGAGAUGUUGAUAGGCAUAUAGCAUUUUUAUAACAGUAUCAGGUAACAAAGAUAUUUUGGCGAAGCACAUGUAGACGAGUGCACAUUUUUGAAAUUAUGUGAGCACUACAAUUCACACAGCAAAUUAAAUUGAUACUCUGGACUGAACAAUUUUACACUAUUAUUCAAAUAACAUGAGCACGGGUGGAUAAGUCAACCGUGCGAACUUAGGAGCGUCACGACAGUUGACAUACGUUCUUGGUAUCACUAAGUACACUUAAUACGGUUACGGACUAGCAAUUACUAUUAUACUAGUAAGGAAAGUAAAAGACUCACUUGUAUUAUGAAAUGAUUUGAAGGAAAGAUUUUAAAAGCUCAUUAUAAUUGGUUGCACCUGAAGUUUCAAGAUUUUAAAAGUGUUGAGUGAAAAACACUGAUGAAGACAUGUUAGAGAAAAUAUUUAUUUUCAUGACUCGAAUAUGCUCUUGCAGCAGCAAUAUCAAGAGCGAAAGUUCAUAAUAUAUUCCCUGAAGCGAUAAAGUAAAUUAUAUUCCUAGAAGUGAUAUCAUUUCUUUUAGUGGUAGUACAAAAUAAUAAGUUUUUGCUGAAAAACCAACAAUCUCGCUCGACCGAAUCUAUUACAUUCCCUGAAGUGAAUGGAAUCUCAUUUGAUAAUCAUAGAGGAAAUUAUGGUUGUAGUUGUGGUAGUGGACUUGAAAAGAACAAUCAAUAUAUAAAAGGGAAUGUACCCGUCGUACUCCUAAACACUUGGUAGAUUUGUACCAAGACUCUAUAAAAGAAAAGAAAAUGGAAUGAUCCUGAAGAUCCCAUGAAUUAUUUUGACUUUUCAAAAUGGAGUGGAUAUAACUAAUUUUGAUAUCUAUGGUUUCCUUGAUGAUAUGUUGAUAGAAAUGUUCAUACUAAUUAAUUAUUUUUAUUUCAUUAUAUUAUGACAUUAUAAUAAGUAUUUUUAUUAUAUAUUUUAUUUAUGUUUCAAGUAAUAAAGUUAAAUUUAUGUUUUGCAUAUAUGAAAUUGUAUGAGUCAGAAGCUCAUCAAACUUUAAAGGCUCUGGAAGAGCGAUUAGUCAUCAAACAUAAUUGAAGACUCUUGAAGAGUGAUUAUUCAUCAAAUUUAAUUAAAGUCUCUGGAAGAGCGAUUAUAAUAUUUUCAAAGGGCACAAAACUUUGUAUUGAUGAUUCUUUAUAUUCUUCUGAGACAAGCAGAAAUUUGCUCAGUUUUAAGGAUAUACGUUAUAAUAGUUAUUAUAUUGAAAUCAAUAACGAAGGUAGUGAAGAAUUUCUUUAUAUUACUUCAAUAGUAUCGGGUCAGAAGCUCAUAUUAGAAAAAUUCUAUAUUUUCUCUUUUGGGUUAUAAUGAGAAUAGUUGAAACAAAUGUUGUAAUACACCAGAAGUGUGCAAUACACCAGAAGUGUUUGGAUCCAAAUAUUUUUAUGAUUUGGCAUGAUCAUUUAGGAUCAAUAAUAAUGCAUUGAAUUAUUGAAAACUCCCAUGAACAUCCUUUAAAGAAGCAGAAGAUUCCUUUACCUGUUGAUUAUAUCAAAGUAAAUUAAUUACCAAAUUAUCACAUUUAAUUAUUGUUAUUUGGUGUUCAUCUUCUAAGAAAGAAUUUAGAGUGAUAUUUUUAAGGUAUAUUUUGAGGAUAGUUAUUUUAAUAGUCUUCCCACCAUUAGAGGGAGAAAAGAUCGUUGCCUGAAGCACGAUGGGAGAUUAAUUGGAAUGUUUCGUUGCCUAAAACACGACGUGAGAUCGUUGCCUGAAGCACGAUGGAAGAUUAAUUAGAAUGUUUCAAAUCCUGAUUCUCAUACAAAUUAAUAUGAACUAGAAGUUCAAAGGAUUAUUCAUUUGCAAUGAAUUGCAAAUCAAUUACUAGAAUUAUUCACCGAUAAUAAGAAAAGUGUGAUAUCUCACAUUUUAGCUGCUAAUACUCUAGAAGAGAUUGAAGUCCCUGUAGGACAAUUAGUUAAUACAACAGCAAAUUGAAUCAAAGUCACACUUGAAAAAUGGAAGAAUGAUUGGUGUUAAAAAAUAAAAUUUUCCAGAAGAAGAAAGUACAAGAAAAAUAAGUUGCAGCCUAUAAAGAGGCUAUACCCAUGAAACAGGCUACAAAAUUUAUCAAUCUAUCCAAAACUUAUGAACAAAAAUCUCUUGUAAAUAAAACUCUUAAAGAGUUAUUCCCUGAAGAGGAUGAGUUAUCCCCUGAAGAGGAUCAGGUACCUGAAAAUAACGAGAUCUCGAUACAUUAUGUAUAUAAAAGAGACGUAUAUAUUGGAUAGAAAUAAAAUCGUUGUCGACAACAUAUUUUCAUAUAAAUUUGCUAUGGAUAUUACCAGAAGUAAUGAUCAUAUAUAUGAACCACAAAUCGUUGACGAAUGUAGAAAUAUUUGGCCAAUGUAGAAAGAGGCGAUUCAAGCAUAAUUAAAUUCACUAAGUAAAUGUGAAAUUUUUGGACCUGUAGUCCGAACACCUAAAGGUGUAAUGCCUGUUGAAUACAAAUGGGUAUUUGUACGAAAUAAGAAAAAUAAGCGCGACUUGUUGCACAAGGUUUCUUGCAGAGACUUGGUAUUAAUUAUGGAGAAAUAUUUGCUCCUGUAAUGGACGCAAUUAUAGUCAAAUUUUUAAUUAGCUUGGUAGCAAAAUAAAAUUUGGAUAUGCGAUUAAUGUAUGUUGUUACAACAUAUCUGUAAGGAUCAUUAGAUAAUGAUUAUAUAUACAUGAAAAUCCCUGAAAGAUAUAAAAUGCCUGAAUCAUAUAAUUCUACAUCUCGAAGUAUGUAUUUUAAGUUACAAAGAUCCUUAUAUGGGUUAAAGCAAUUCAGAUGCAUAUUGUGGAAUAAUCGCCUAAGUAGAUAUCUUUUGAAAGAAAGAUUUGAGAAUAAUCCAAUUUGUGCAUGCAUUUUUAUCAAAAAAAUCAUAAUCUGGAUUUGUUAUUAUUAUUGUAUUUAUUGAUGAAAGAUCUUGCUCCAAAAGAGUCGACAAAAACAACUAAUUUAAGAUGAAAGAUAUUGGUAAGCCAAAUUUUUGUCUUGGUCUACAAAUUGAACUCUGAAAUUCUUGUUCAUCAAUAAACAUACACAGAAAAAGUCCUGAAGUAACUUUACAUGGAUAAUAUUAAUCCUUUGAGUGCUCCAAUGAUGGGUUAGUCACUUGAUAUCAAGAAAUAUUCAUUUUGACCACAAGAAAAUGAUUAAUAAAUUUUUGGUCUUGAAGUACCAUAUCUUUGUGAAAUUGGUGUUUUGGUCCUGAAGUACUAUAUCUUAAUAUAAUUGGUACUUUGAUGUAUCUUGCAAAUUUAAAGACUUGAUAUAACAUUUGUAAUUAACUUACUAACAAUGUAUAGUUAUGCACCAACUCGAAGAUAUUGUAAUGAAAUUAAACCUAUUUUAUGUUAUCUUUGUGAGACUAUUGAUUUGGGAUUAUUUAAUCCAAAUGGUGAUAGAACCAAACAUAUUGCACCAAAAUUAUUUUAUUAUACACAUGAGCCCUAGAAGAAUGACAAUAUUGAUCAUGUGAUAAUUUGGUUGAUAUAUUUAUUAAGUCAUUACCAACUAUGAUUUUGAAGAAGAUGGUGCACAAUAUUGACAUACUUCGACUUAAUGAUAUUUUUACUAUGAACAAUGAAAAUUCUAUAAACUUAUGAAGGGGAGUAAAAAGGAUAUGUGCUGAUUGUACUCUUUUUCCUUCGCUAAGGUUUUUUCCCACUGGGUUUUCCUUUGCAAGGUUUUAAUGAGGCAAUCCCAAGGCACUAGAAGUUAUACAAGAAUAUUGUACUCUUUUCCUUCGCCAAAUUUUUUUUCCACUGGGUUUUUAUUUGGCAAGGUUUUUAACGAGGCAUAUUCUUAGAAAAUUGCUACAAAAGAACUCCAUCCAUUCUGUAUGUAGACAGUACUGCAUGUAUAGCUCAAUUAAAAGGAGGAUACAUCAAAGGAGAUAGAACAAAGCACAUCUCACCGAAAUUCUUUUUCACACAUGACCUUGAUAAAUGUGGUGACAUUGAUGUUCAACAAAUUCGCUCAAAAGACAAUCUAGCAGAUUUGUUCACCAAAGCAUUACCAACUGCAACGUUUGAAGGAUUACGUCGCAAUAUUGGAAUACGACAGCUGAAGAACUUAAGGAUACAUUCAUGAGGGGGAGUUAAUACGCGCUGCACUCUUUUUUCCUUAACUAAGGUUUUUUUCCAUUGGGUUUUUCCUGAUAAGGUUUUUAAUGAGGCAGUUUUCAAUGCGUAUAGCUAUACAAUAGACAUCCAAGGGGGAGUGUUAUAAAAUUAUGUCUAGAUUCACAAUUUAAUGGAUGUCUAGUAACUCCCAUGUCCAUUGAAUUUUGUAACUCAUGACUCUUUAGUUUUAUAACUUAUUUAGUUUUAUAACUUACUAGUAGUAUUGAUGAUCUUACUUCUAUAAAUAUGACAAUUGUAAAGUGAUGGAGUUGGAUACAUAGAUUAUGAAAAUACUCUCUCUAAUUAUCUUCUUUUAGUCAUCUUGUUUUAGUUAUCUUUCAUAACAUUUUAUAACAGUAUAAUAAAUAUAAGGUCCUCUUAUAAUUUUAUUCAAUUUCAUAUAUUGAUAUGUUUUACAAUUAUUAUUUAACACAAAUUUAUGAGAUUUAUGUGUCUCAAAAUAUUUGCUGCUUCAGGUUUUGAAAGAGAGUAAUCCUAUUGAAACAAAUUAUACAGAAAAACUUGUGUACUAUAUAAAAAAGAUAAAAGUUAGGAAACGAGACCUACUAUUAGAUAUUUUAUAAAGAAUAAUUGCUGUUCUAUUUAUAAUAAUAAUGUUUUGUAUAGAACUCGAAUAUUACUUAAUGAAUUUUGUGUACUUGACUUACAUGAAAAAUAAUUUUGCAUUUUAAACAAACUAGUAUAAGAAAAUGAGAUAAUCAUUCAAAGAGUUGAAUGUGUGUAUUUGCUGAAAUACAAGUGUGAAUUAUUUGAAAGAUUCAAAUAUUUCAGAAGUGAAAUAAAUUGACAAAGUAUUAAGAUUCUUUGAUUAGAUCAAGGAAUAAAUACUUGUGCAAUAAGUUUCUAGAUCAUCUCAAAUAAUUUUCUCAUAAUGGACUCCUCCUAAUACGUAAUAAUUGAUUGAUGUAUUUGAAAGAAAAAAUCGUACUUUGUUGGACAUGGUGUGGUCCAUAAUGAUUUUACCGAUAUUCCAGUAUCCCUCUAAGGUCAUGCCCUAGAAAUGGCUGCAUAUCUACGAAAAGGAACCUCAAAAUCCGGCCCCAAGACUCUAUAAAAGUUAUGGACAUAUACGAUACGUGAGUCUUAUUUUUUAUGCAUAAUUUUUUAUGUAUAAUUUGUGCACAUAAGAUUAUUCUUUGAAAAAUUACCAACGAAAAUAUUUUAAGUACAAUAGAGCUACAAUAAACACAUUCAUUUGCGGACGUAGGGAUUUGGCUCGCCUCCAUUAUAUUUUUUCUCUAAUUUCAUUCAAUACAUCAAUUAUUUGAUCUUAAGAAGUUUGUUACUAAUGAUCAAAAUAUGUUAAUAGAUAUUUGAUAAUAUUAAUAUCAAUCAUACCAAAAUUUAUAACAAUUAAAAAUAUUUUGACCGUUAAAAGUUUUAAAAAAAUUUAGUCAUUGAAUUUUUGAUGAAAAAUUUAUGCAUUUAUCAAAUGGUAAAAAAAUAUUAGAUUAUUUUCAUUUUUGGAAAAAGUAUACUAUUUAAUAUUAUAAAUUAAUUAACUAGUGUUAAUUUUAAUUAUAUUAUUUAAAAUUAUAAAAAUAUACUAUCUUCGUCCCAUAAUAUAAGGCGUUUUAGAAAAGUUUUUUUGUCCAUUAAUAUAUGACGUUUUUGAAUUACAAGUAAACAUUAAUUACUUAGUUUUUAAUAUCACCUCAAGUUUAAAUAUAACUUUGGGUCCCUCAUUAUUUUUUACCCAAUAAAUAACAAUCUCUUUUUCUAAUAUAAAGACAAUAUAAAUAUUUGAUAUUAUAUUUAAUUCUAUACAAUUAUUUUCUUAAUACUUAUACACAACUCUAAAAAAAUCUUAUAUUAACGCGCUGUUUCUGAGUUUUAAAAUGGACAGAAAAGAAAAGAAAUGGACGAAAAAUUUAAAUUUUCUUUCAAAUUCUUAUGUUUCUGAGUUUUUUAAUAAACAGAAAAAAAAUAAAUGGAUAGAAAACUUGACCACUUUUUCUGCCAAAGUUUUCUGUCCAAAAUUGAUCUGAUUUGGACGAAAAAGAAAUUGAAAUAAGUAAUAUUUUUAUAAUUUCCAUAUUAUCUUCAAUUUUUAAUAUAAUAAAUUUUAAAUUACUACUCAUGUUCUGAAUUUUAAAUUUUUUAUUAAAAAUUCAGAAAUAACACAAAUAAAAUUUUUAAAUUUUUUAUUCUUUUUUUUAUUCUAAUUUAAAUUUUCUAUUUUUUUUAUUCAAAACUCAUAACAAAGCGUAACGGAGUGAGUACAUUAGUCAAGCCCCAAAAAUAGACAGGACUAGUCAUGAAAGUGAGAUUCUUCUGAACACCACAUAAAGUUUCCGGUAGCCCCCUUCUAAUGGGCCCCACAUCACUCUCUGGAGUCUUUUCUGCAAUGCAAUGAUUAACCAUUUUAAAACUACUCUUUUUGUUUGUUUACAUUCAAUGUCCCAAAACAGUUGUCCUCUUUGAUGCCACAAAUUACACCUAAUUCAAGAGUAACAAAAUAUAUACAACUAAUUGUUAAAUCCACUUGAUAUUUUCACAAUAAAAUCUUUCCAUAGAUCUUAUAGUGAUGCUGAAAAUCCUCACUAUACAUUUAUAUUAAUAUUUUUAUUGUAAAAAUAAUAAAAAAUAUUCUUAAUAUGUUAAAUAUUACAAUUAAGUGGAAAGAAAAAUGGGUGCUAGAAUGUGUAUUUAACUUGUAUAAUAUUUUCUGUAUUCUAAAAUGUAAAAUUUCUUGCCUUUAUAACAUGGUUAAAAUUGUUCGUUAUUCACUAACUUUAUAUAAAGAAUGAAAGAAGGCUCACAUAAAAGAUGUUAAAGAAGUCAGGUUGAAAAUUUGUGACUCAUAAUAUAGAAGUAAUUGAAAAAGACUAGUGCGGACAGUGGCGGAACCAGAGCAGUUUUGUUGGGGGGCAAAAAAAUUUAACCGGACACACUAAUUUUUUAGAUUCGUUUGACAGGUCAUAACAGGUCCCAAAAAUGACCGGACACACUAAUUUUUUAUUUUGAUUUUAAAAUGCCUUUUCAUAAUUCAAUUUGUCCAAGCUCUUUAAUUAGCUAUAUAAAGCAUAUAUGUAUAUAGUUUGGGUCUUGGCUUUGCUUAAUUCCUAGUUUUUAGCAAAAACAGUCCUAAGAGGACUUUUAGCGAACAUGUUAUGUGCGCCACUUUAACAAUCAGAUUUCUUAGCCAUUUCUUUGUGUUCCAACCCGAAUUCGCCAUCCUUAUUACUCCGCACAUUAACAACUAUACUCCAUGUCACUAAUUCAAUCAAAAGCUAACUGAUUUAUACCAUAAAAGCAUACAAGUUAACAGGAAGUUAACAACUAUAAGUCUAUACUCCAUGUCCUGAAUUUUUUCUCAUGCUUUAUGUUUCGAGCUUUUGCUGAUAUAUAAUUGGUUACUGCAUAUCGAAAUUUUUUAGGUAAUGAAUUAUUUGCAAGAAAAAUCGACUUGGGUUGAGGAAUUACUUGGAGAUGCAAAGAUUCUUGUAUUUGAUGAGACCAUUUCUUAUGCAGAUUUUGACAAUCUCCUUUCUGAAGUAGGUAAGGAGAUUGAAACAGUAAAUGGAGAAUUAAAAGAACACAAGGAAAAAUGUGCAGAAUUAUCUGCAAAUCUGAAAGAGAAGGAAGAGAUGUGUGUAGAGUUUGGUAUUACCUCUAAUUAGCAGAACAAACAGUCAUUAGACGAAUCCUGCCGGAGAAGAGUCGGAGAAGAAGAGAAGAACUGGUCGCCANNNNNNNNNNNNNNNNNNNNNNNNNNNNNNNNNNNNNNNNNNNNNNNNNNNNNNNNNNNNNNNNNNNNNNNNNNNNNNNNNNNNNNNNNNNNNNNNNNNNNNNNNNNNNNNNNNNNNNNNNNNNNNNNNNNNNNNNNNNNNNNNNNNNNNNNNNNNNNNNNNNNNNNNNNNNNNNNNNNNNNNNNNNNNNNNNNNNNNNNNNNNNNNNNNNNNNNNNNNNNNNNNNNNNNNNNNNNNNNNNNNNNNNNNNNNNNNNNNNNNNNNNNNNNNNNNNNNNNNNNNNNNNNNNNNNNNNNNNNNNNNNNNNNNNNNNNNNNNNNNNNNNNNNNNNNNNNNNNNNNNNNNNNNNNNNNNNNNNNNNNNNNNNNNNNNNNNNNNNNNNNNNNNNNNNNNNNNNNNNNNNNNNNNNNNNNNNNNNNNNNNNNNNNNNNNNNNNNNNNNNNNNNNNNNNNNNNNNNNNNNNNNNNNNNNNNNNNNNNNNNNNNNNNNNNNNNNNNNNNCGUCGCCUACCGGGGGCAGCUGCCCCCGCCCGCCCCCGCCUAGUUCCGCCGCUGAGUGCGGAGCCUUUUCUGGGUUGUUUAUUAGAGGGACAUUAUGAAUAAUUGAGACAUAAUGUGAAGUAGAGUUGGAAUAAGAUUAGUAGGUAUAAAUACUAUUUAUUGUAAAGCCAUAUAUAACCAAGGAAUCAUCAAUAAACAACAAGCCGCAUGUGGAGUACCCAAAUUGAGGAACCACGUAAAUCUUUUGUGUUAUUCUUAAUUCUCUAUCGUUUGUAUGUGUAUGUGAUCCUAUAUUCUAACAAGUUAUGAUGGUUAUGAUUGAGAUUUUAUAACAAUUAGGUUGCUUGUUAAGUGUUUUUUCAUUGUUCAUCCAAUGUGAAGUGUACUUGUUGAUAGCUUUAUAAAUUGUUGAGAUUAUUCCUCCAAAAUAGGUGUAAUUGUGUUUCUUAUAUGUUAAAAAACUAACUUAAAAGAUAAAAUAAAAAACUAAUAUAAAUAAGAAAUUUGUGUCUGUUUUCCAUUUUAUUAAAUUAAAUUUAUCUACGUAACUCGUAAUUAAAAAAUUGAUGUAACAUCGUCAAUAUAUAUCAUUUUUCUUUUUGCAAGUUAAUGGUGUGCUUGACAAAUCAAAUUUGAACAAAAAUAAAAAGAUAUAUAUAUAUAUAUAUAUAUAUAUAUAUAUAGAUGAGUACCUUUAUUAUUGAUAUACAAGUGUGAGAGUUCCAAAUCAUUCACGAAGGUACAAUCUUCUUUGAGGAUAGGGUUGUAAACAAGAUGGGUCGAGUCGGGUUUUGACUUAUCGAGUUCGAACUCUUUUAAACGAUCUUAGUCAGGUUUUAAACGAGCUUGAAAUCUAUGUAUAAAUUUGACUCAAUUAUAAACGACCGAGUCAGUCCUAAGCAAGUCGAGUUGAGCUCGAUCAUAAGCUCAACUUGUUUAAUUUAUUUUAAAUUUUUCACUUUUUUAGAAAAAAAUUAUAUAUUAAUAAAAUAUAUUGUUCGAGCUCCAUUCGUUUAAUUAAACGGAUUAAAAGUCUAGUUCAAACUCAACUCAUUCGUUUACAGUUCUAUUUGAGAUAGUUGAAGUUUAGGAUGCUUGUCUAUGUACCGAGUCAAUUAGGUUUUGUACAAAGAAGAUGAAAGAAAAAAGAUAUAAUAAAAAAUAAAUAGUUCAAUUCCAUUUUUUCACUGCUUUUUUAAAAGGACUAAUUUGAAAGAAUAUCUCUAUGAAUCCAAACAAAGUACAAAGAAGAUAUUUUCCUUUCAUUUCGAAAAAAAAGUCUUUUAUUUCAAAAACUGUGCCAAACACAACAUAAAUAUGAAAGAAAAAAAGGGUAUUUUCGUGGGAGAUGAUUUAUGGCAAACAAAAAAUCUAUGACGAAGGUAAAUUAAGACUUACGUGAAGUUUUAAUAAAUUAAAUUUUGAUUACUUAUUAAUAUAAUCUUAUCAAAUAUAUUCAUAUGAUAUGUGUCAAUUAGUAACUUUCAAAUUAGGGUUUCUAUCAACCCAUGAAUUUUGAUUUUAAUCACCACGUAUCCGCCUUAAUCUCCCCUAAAAACCAACAAAAGGUCUGCUGGAGUUAGGGGUUCGGGUUGACUCUUUGAUACUUAAGUCAGAUCAAUUGCUGAUAUGAGGAGAGAGCAGGGGUGGAUCUAGCCACAAAAUUUAGUGGGGUCAAAUUCAAUUUUUUUUUUAUUAAAAAUAAAAAUUAUAACUAUAUAUAUACUUUUCUAAAUCCAAUAUAAUUUCUCAACAUUUAAGUCGUUAAGUUUAAUAUAUAUAUAUAUAUAUAUAUAUAUAUAUAUUCAUAAUUUUCUUAUAAGAAAAAUAUUAAAAUGAUUUUUUUAAUCAAUAAUUUUUUUAAUUAAAAAUCCAAUAUAGUACAAAUAUGACAAAUUCAAAAGAGUUGGAUAAGGCCACACGAGAUAAAGAAAACUAAGUAAAUAGUCUUGAAAUUUUAACACAUUGUCUUGUCUUUGAGUUUUAAUUUGGUGAUAAAAGUAAAGGAAGCGAAUGAAAACAAAAAGAGAUAAUGUCAAUUUUGUAAUAGAAGAGAUUUUUUUAAAGAAAAGUGGUGUUUUUGAGUUUUAAUUAGAAAAAAAAAAUAUAAAAAAAAUGAGUGUAUUUUGAGUCAAAAAUUUUCUUUCUCAUUUUUUUUCUACAACUAAAAAACUUUACAGGAUGUUAGUUAAAAAAGAAAAGAAAGUAGAAGAGAGUACUUAUUUUUUGAGCCAAAUAUUACACAUGUAGAGAGAAAUAAGAGAAGUAGUACAAAAUUAUCAUUACUUUAAAAAAUCACUUAUACAAAAAGAGGGUGGUGAUAGGGGUGUGUACUAUGGGGAAAGGGAAGGAGCCAAGGAGGGCACAACACAUGGACGAAAAUUCAGUGGUGGCAGGUGCCCCCUUCCCCCUAGGGUAGAUCUGCCUCUGGGAGAGAGAAUUAGUAUGGGAGAAAAAAGUUGUGUAUCUUAAGUGUACUGGAGUAUUCCUUAUUUAUAGGAUGAAUCAUCUCCUUCUAGAGUUACAAAUAAAAAACCUGCAUGAAUUUAGAGAUUUUCUAGGUUGUUUAAACUUCCUAACAAUUUUGUCCUUUACUGAAUUUAAUAUGUUUCUAGAAUACUCAAUGAACAAAUUUAUUAUAUUACCCUUUAUUAAUAAGAUUAUAGAAAUAACACGUGACAACUUGUCAUUGGUGAGUUCUUUUUACCCAUAUCAUUUGCCCCCAUACUCUUUUAAAAAUUAAUAAAUAAUACUCUCCAUCCGUCCCUUAAUAUAUGAUGUUUUAAAGCGUUGCAUAAGAAUUAAGAUAAUGAUUGAAAAGUAUUAAAUAUAGUAUCAAUUGUCUAUAAUACCAUUAAAUCUUAUCUUAUCAUAGUUAUCUCAUACUUUCUCUCACACAUUUUUCUAUAAUUUUCUCCUAAAAAAACUCAUUAGUCUCAUUUACUCAUUGGUCUCUCAUCCAUUCUCAUAAAAUAACUUUUCCAAUUCUUUAGUUUAUUAAACUAAAAAAUUAGGUAGAGUAAUGAUGGGUAAUUUUGAAAAAAUUAUGACAAAUUCUCCUAAAUUUUAACAAAUGUCAAAUAAUUAGGGACAACUAAGAAACUCUAAAAUGUCCUACAUUAAGGGACAGAUGGAGUAAUAGUUUUUUUCUUCGCGUCAUGACGCUAAUUCAAAGCCCCUAUGACCUUAAUUCUAGCAUCCGUAGUCUUAAUUCUUGGCGUCCAUGACGCUAAUGUUCGGCCUCCAUGACCUUUAUUUUGGGCCUCCAUGACGACUUUAAUUCUGGGCCUCCAUGACCUUGAUUGUGGGUCUUUAUAGCUUUAAUUAUGGCAUAUAUGACUUUAAUUCUGGACCUUCAUGAUCUUGAUUCUGGCCUCCAUGGUUUUAAUUCUAGCCUCCAUGACCUUAAUUUUGGGCCUCCAUUUGAUUCUGGACCUCCAUAACUUUAAUUUUGGGCCUCUAUGACCAUAAUUAUGGGUUCCCAUGAUAUUGAUUUUGGCCUUCAUAGCUUUAAUUUUUGGGUCCUUUACAAUAAUAUACAACAUUUAGUAAGUAAUUACACUAUUAGUGCAUCCACAAAAUAAUUACAAAAAUAAUAUACUUUCCCAUAUUUAUUUACAAUAUUAGUGCAAUUAGGAUUCCUUAAUUUAGGAAAUUAGUAUAUGAUUCAAUUCACAAUAAUAAGGAAACCUAAAAUUAAGGAGAAAUAACUGUCAUAAUUAAUAAUUCAAAUUCAAAUAUCUUGGAUCUAACAACAAAAAUAAAUUCAAAUUCAAAAUAAUAAUUCAAAUAUUCAUAGUUUGGCAACGUCAUCUUCCUCCUCCCCUUCGCCGGUGAGACAGAGUCACAAAAUGGUCAAUGAGAUGUAGAAAUGAGGUGGAUAUUUGAUUUUUCAUAAUUUAUUCAUGUCCAAAAAUUUCAAUUCCAAUUUCAUGUCCAAAAGAAAAUAAGAACACUGCAUAGGAAGGAGAGAGAUAAGAGAGUGAUGUGUAAUGUAAUGUUGAUAACCAAACCUUCUUAAAAAGGUAACCAAACUUUUAUACAAAGGUAACUAAACCUUUAUACCAAGGUAACCAAUCUACCUCCACAUCUCCAUUAUGAAUUGGUUACCUUGGUCUGAAAGUUUGGCAACUAACUGUAUGAAUGUUUGGCUACCAACUGCAUCACAUUCAAAAUAAAUUGGUAACUUAAUAAAACUGAAUUGGUUACCUUGGUAUGAAGAUUUGGUUACGGGUUCUUGGGAUUGUACCUCAUCACCUCAUCAUAUAAAAUGUGACCCAUGGGGGCACACCCCAUGAGUAGACCCGGGUGACCCGAAUUGGCCUUCUCCACUGCAUCAAUAGCCAGCAACCGAAUCGAGUUCACCGAUUUCUCCACCAGUGAAGUCUCCGUCUUUUCGAGCGUCUCCACGGUGAUAGCCCUGACUACACACCGUCCGGCGGUGGAUUUGCGGCGGCGAGAGGAGGAUUUGAGGGAGGUGGAAAAAGUGGGUAGGUGAGAGAAAGAGAAGAGAGAAGAAGAGGGUUGUUGGGUAGAAGAAUUGGAGCCGCCAUGGCGAGGAAUAGAUCGAGAAAGGAUGACUUGAGAAAUAGUUAGAGAUGAAGAAGUUGCCAUGGCAGAGUCUAGAGAGAGAAAGUAGUCCUGGUGAAGAAGCUGAGAUGUACUAUGUAACAAGAGAAGAGAGAAAGUUUGUUAUAUGGAUUACUUAUUAAUUACUUAAUUUAAUAAGUAAAUCAAUACUAAUCCCCUAAAUUAAGGAAUCCUAAUUGCAUACUAAUUCCCUAAAUUAAGGAAUCCUAAUUGCACUAAUAUUGCAAAUAAAUAUGAAAAGUGUAUUACUUUUAUAAUUAUUUUAUGGAUGCACUAUUAUUGUAAUUAUUUCUAAAAAUGUACUAUAAUAUUAAUUAACCCUUAAUUUUAGGCUCUAUUGCCUUAAUUCCGACCUUACUUUAAUUUUGGGCUUCUAUGACCUUUAAUUCUGAUGCAAAACUUCUCUUUUUUUUGUUUUAUAGGUCUCUUUUGUUGGGCCAACAUUCAACUUGUGAAUGAUAACUUAUAAAUUGGGGAUCAAUUCAUGACAUAUCAACUAUUGUCCAAGUAAACAUAUCUUUAUUGUUCCUCAAGAAUUGGACGAGUUUGUCUUUAGUUUUCUCCUUUAAACUAGAACCCACAUAGGUAAUUUUAUUAAGAUUUGCACUUACAAAUAAAUUUGGGACCAACUCCUUUGCAGGUUAUCCUUUUUGCUCGUUAUCUUCAUCCCUCACAUCUAGGGAAUUAAUAGGCAAGACUUGCCUCCUGAUAAACACAUAAUUAAUACAUUUUUAUAUUUUCAUAUUAAUUAUUUUAUAUAACUAAUAUAUUUUAUUUUGUUUUUGUAGGAAAUAACAUUUAUUUUUCUUGGGGAGCAAAUAAAGGAUUUAUAUCCAACUUUUAAAUAUGAAAAAAACGACUCUUAGAGAAUUACCAUAUAGAGAUUAAAAUCAAGAAGGAAAGAAGAAGAAAAAAGGGAACAAAAGUGUCCAAGUUCAAUGAACCUAAAUUAGGGCACAAAUGUAUUCUCCCUAUAAAUAGGCCUCUUGUUUUAGAGGGAAGGGACACUACUUGUUAUUAUUUUUUUCCUUAGUUUGUUGUUGGUGUAGAAAGGGGUAAGAUAUUUAAAGAUUUUGUAUUUCUUUUAUUCCAAUCAUGUAUGGUACUACUGUCAUGGAGUAUUUGUAACUUUUUUUUAUUGAUAUUAUAAAAAUUUUCUUUUUAAUUAUUGUUCUUAUUUCAUGCAAAUAGUCGUACUAAUAUUAUUUAUUUUUGAUUUUUAAUUCCAUGGUUAACUAAAUUCCUAAUACCUAGGAUGAUGAAGAAACUAAGAAUUUUAUAAUAAUUAAUUUUUUUCCAUUCCGAAAUUAGUGCCUAAUUAUUUUUUCCUUCAUAUUUUCCUUUGCACAAAUUGCAUUUGAUUUUUAUAUUGAUUGCGAGAUUUUUGAUAAGUUAUAGUUAAUUUGUGAAUUUUUUAUAACUUAUGCUUGCCCAUAUUAAUUAUAUGAAUCAUUAUUUUUAAAGGAAAGGGAAAAUAAUUUGGGAAUUAAUUUGAAAAAUAAGAAAUUGUUUAUUAUGUUAGUAUUUAGUGGAUUCGGAUUCCUAGGUAUCUUUUCUCAGUAAUAAUUUCUAUUAUUAAUUUUUAGUUUGUAUUAUUUAGUUAGAUAAUCAUCUCCACCAUUUUUAUUUUUAAUUUGCCUAAAAUAUUAAUUAAGGCUUUGAUAAUUAAUCUAGUCUUUGUGGCUCGACUUGCAUUUGCCAAAUCUACAAUAUACGUUGUGCACUUACAAUUACUAAAUUUUAUCUUAUCAAAUUUUUGGCGCCGUUGCCGGGGACUAGAAUUAAUUUUUUAUUCCUUAAUUUUUAUUUAUUCGAAUUAGUUCUUAACUAUAAUAUUUUUUUAGGAUUAUCGGAGCGGAUCGAAGGAGCGAAAAGAUAAAAAUUUUGUUGUUGCGCUUUCUUUGGUACUUCGUAUCUCCAUAUUGUUAAAAAAAACCAAAAAAAAAUUUAGUAGUUUAUGUGACGCCCCCAAAAUAGGUAUACAUCACCCAAUCUGAGUUGUCAAAUACAUGGUACAGAAUUAACUACAACUUUAUUAUUACAACAUAUAAACUAUGAGUUUAAAUACAGAUAUUGCCAUCUAGACAAUAUCCACAUACAAAUAAAUCCUCAUCAUAAUUAUUGAUACAUUAUUUUACAAAAAUGGUUAGGACUACUAAACAACUCUCUCUAGAACCAUCACUACAUCCCCCGACUCGUACUCGUUACAUUAUCUCCUCCUGAGAAGAAAAAUGGAACAAAAAGGAAAAGGGUGAGCUCAACUAGCCAAGUAAAGAAUAUUAUGACUAAGAUAAUAUACAACAAAUUAUCGUUAGUCUUCAACAGGGAAAAAUCCAAUUGAAUACAAUAGACAACAAGUUUUAAAUCAAUAUUCGCAGCGAAAAUAAUAAUUCAUUAGAAGAUUUAAGUAGAGAAUGCAAACUACUAUCUUCUAUGUAUGAAUUUAAAAGUUCAUCGUCUAUCUUUUAUCCCUGUAACAUCAAUCAAUAUAUAUCUGAAAUUAAACAUUCAUCUUUGCACUACAGGCCAAAGAUAUUCAUUAGUUGGUCAUGUUCAUCUAAACACCUGUUCAUCUUUGCACUACUGGCCAAAGAUAUUCAUCAGAAAUCAUUCAUCUUUGCACUACAGGCCAAAGAUAUUCAACAACAUGUCAUCAUUUAGGACUAAGGAUGAUGAAAAAUAUUUUAAAGAAAACGAAUCCAGUGAAACAAAAGAAUAAAUAUUUAGGAUUCGUAUUUCAGUUAUUUUAUGUCCAAAAAUACCUCAUAAAUAAUCAUAGUGGUGUAAAAUCCAAGAAUGAUCAAAACAUGGAUACAAUCAAAGCUAGUAUCCAUAAUAGAUAUUUUUGACGAAAGGAAAAAUUUUCAUUUUUCAAUGAAUAGUGUCGUAUUCGUGAAUAGUGUCGUAUACGUGAAUAGUGCCGUAUACGUGAAUAGUAACUCCGACACCAAAAGUUCCAAAUUUGAUAAAAACUUCAGAUCAAUAUUUCAGCAUAAUGAUAUUGAAGAAAUAAUACCAUUACGAAAAAAAUAAUAUCAUUUACUUCGAAAGAUCAGUACUUCUAGCUGAAACACCGGAUAUAAGCUAUGACUUGAACUUGCACCGUAUAGCAAUACUCAAAAUAUACUCAAAAUACUCACUAAAAUACGCUCGAUAAUAUAGAGAGAGAAAACUUCAGUUUCUGGUGUGAUUUUCAAUUCUAACCUAAGCACCCUAUUUAUAGAAAAAUGCUUAGAACACCAAAACAGAAAAUUUAAUAAAUUAAUAAUAUAUAUAUAUUUUUUCCAACGCACACAUAACUUGCCCAAACAUCAGCCACCCCUUAAGACCACAUCCCAAGACCAACAAAAAAAUGUUUUUCUAAUUUAAACUUCCAAAAUUAAUUAUUUUAAAGCUUCGGAACUUCAAUAAUUCACAAUAAAUAGCCCUUUUGUCAGAAAAUUCGAAACUCGCGACUUUCCAUAGGAAAUUCCAUUAUCUACAACUUUUCAGAAGGAAGUUUUUUCAAAUUCCCAACAGAAAAUGACCGAAAUCCAUAAACGGGCGAUUUUACAGGCUAUAAUCAAAUUUCAGUCAAUAAAUGGGUCCACAGACAUGUUUAACAUGUUUUAAACAUUUAUUGCAACAAAAAUACUCUUUCUCCUCGUAUAUUCAUAUAUCCCACAUUCAUUAUAAAAAUAUCACUAUUAUUAUACUAUUAAAAUAUAAUAAUAUAUUUAAAUGAAUUAUUUUAUCAGAAAAAGAUAAAAUUUCAAUUUUCAACAAUUGUCACAUUAAAAAUUUUCUCCAUCUAUAUCCACAUAAAAUCAAUAUUUUCCUCAUCAUAUGAAUCAAUAAUUAAUUAUUCACAAAUAAUAUUACAGAAUCACAAUAUUGACAACCAGGCAGUUCCCAGGAAAGAGGGGGCUUUCCAAUAAGAAUUUCUCCUUACUGGCGCGCAAUUAGGUGACCAAACCUCUCCUUAGACAGAACUUUCUAGACAUUGCCAAUAAUGUUAUCUAAUAAUAUUAUUCAGAUAAUAUGAAUUAUUGCUUCGAUAAUGAAAAAUACUGUGUAAUGACAAUUAUUGAAACAACAGCAAUAUAAAAUAUCAACGCAGCAAUUAUUGAAUCAAUAAAAUAAAAUACUGAACAGUAAUUACUGUAACCAUUAUUGAGUAGUGCCUUCUUACGUAAGAGUCAAUAAUUGGUGCAAUACCGUGUGCUACUGUGCAACAACGCGUAUUACUGUGUUUUAACCACCGGGUAUUCCAACAGUGUAAACGGUAACAACUACGCCGUUAUUUUUAAACAACUUAUAUUUGUCGUUUUCUUCCUCCAAUCGCUUUCCGUUAUGGGGCCCACACAUGGCUGCGCCGUCGUACGAAUAUUCCCCGACAGUACGAAUAUUCCACGACCAAACGAAUAUUCCCCGACAACAAUGAAUAUUUUAUAACCACUUGCUUAUUUUGAAAUAUUUGCGUAUUUUACCCAUAACUAUCCACAUUAAUCAAAUCAACCCUUACUAUUUCAAAAUAAUAAAUAGAGAAAAUUAAAUUUCAUUAAUAAUAAGUUGGGGUCUUACAACCUCCCCUCCUUAUGAAAUUUCGUCCUCGAAAUUGACGUACGUACCUGGUGUUUCGAAAAGGUGAGGAUACCUCGCUUUCAUUUCCGUUUCCAAUUCCCAGGUCAUUUCCUCUAUAGCAUGAUUCCUCCACAAAAUUUUAACUUGUGGAAUAACCUUUGUGCGUAGGACAUGCUCCUUCCUAUCCAAGAUCUUGACAGGUACCUCUUCGUGCGUUAAGUCUUCGGCUAUCUCGUCCGGUUCUAACUCUAUAACGUGGUUCGGGUCUUUCACAUAUUUACGAAGUACAGAUAUGUGAAACACAUUAUGAACACGAGACAUACUUGGAGUUAACGCGAGUCUAUAGGCUACAUUUCCUACUCGGUCAAGAAUUUGAAAUGGACCAAUAAAUCGUGGAUUGAGCUUUCCUCGUUUCCCAAAUCUUGUAACUCCCUUCCAUGGAGCUACACGCAACAAUACGUGAUCCCCAAUACUAAAUUCCACGUUCUGAUUGUAUACGUGAUCCGCAUAACUCUUUUGUCGAUCUUGUGCCGCUUGUAUACGUUGUCGAAUCAUUUGGAUCUUUUCGAUAGUCAUACGUACUAACUCGGGUCCCAACAAUGUUGCUUCACCCACCUCAUCCCAACAUAUUGGAGAGCGACACUUUCGUCCAUAUAAUGCUUCAAAUGGAGCCACACCUAUACUUGCCUGAUAACUGUUGUUGUAGGAGAAUUCCACCAAUGGUAAAUACUUAUCCCAACUGCCCUUGAAGUCUAGGACACAGAGUCUUAAUAAAUCUUCAAGAGUUUGAAUAGUCCUCUCUGAUUGUCCGUCCGUUUAAGGAUGGUAUGCCAAACUGAAUCAUAAAUCCGUACCCAUAGCUUUUUACAAGCUAACCCAAAAUCUUGAAGUGAAUCUUGGGUCACGAUCUGAAACUAUAGAUACUGACAUGCCAUGCAAUCUCACAAUCUCAUUUACGUACAUUUGAGCAAGACGUUCAAGGGAAUAAGUCUCCCGUAUCGGCAAGAAAUGAGCAGACUUGGUUAAUCUAUCAACAAUAACCCAAAUNNNNNNNNNNNNNNNNNNNNNNNNNNNNNNNNNNNNNNNNNNNNNNNNNNNNNNNNNNNNNNNNNNNNNNNNNNNNNNNNNNNNNNNNNNNNNNNNNNNNNNNNNNNNNNNNNNNNNNNNNNNNNNNNNNNNNNNNNNNNNNNNNNNNNNNNNNNNNNNNNNNNNNNNNNNNNNNNNNNNNNNNNNNNNNNNNNNNNNNNNNNNNNNNNNNNNNNNNNNNNNNNNNNNNNNNNNNNNNNNNNNNNNNNNNNNNNNNNNNNNNNNNNNNNNNNNNNNNNNNNNNNNNNNNNNNNNNNNNNNNNNNNNNNNNNNNNNNNNNNNNNNNNNNNNNNNNNNNNNNNNNNNNNNNNNNNNNNNNNNNNNNNNNNNNNNNNNNNNNNNNNNNNNNNNNNNNNNNNNNNNNNNNNNNNNNNNNNNNNNNNNNNNNNNNNNNNNNNNNNNNNNNNNNNNNNNNNNNNNNNNNNNNNNNNNNNNNNNNNNNNNNNNNNNNNNNNNNNNNNNNNNNNNNNNNNNNNNNNNNNNNNNNNNNNNNNNNNNNNNNNNNNNNNNNNNNNNNNNNNNNNNNNNNNNNNNNNNNNNNNNNNNNNNNNNNNNNNNNNNNNNNNNNNNNNNNNNNNNNNNNNNNNNNNNNNNNNNNNNNNNNNNNNNNNNNNNNNNNNNNNNNNNNNNNNNNNNNNNNNNNNNNNNNNNNNNNNNNNNNNNNNNNNNNNNNNNNNNNNNNNNNNNNNNNNNNNNNNNNNNNNNNNNNNNNNNNNNNNNNNNNNNNNNNNNNNNNNNNNNNNNNNNNNNNNNNNNNNNNNNNNNNNNNNNNNNNNNNNNNNNNNNNNNNNNNNNNNNNNNNNNNNNNNNNNNNNNNNNNNNNNNNNNNNNNNNNNNNNNNNNNNNNNNNNNNNNNNNNNNNNNNNNNNNNNNNNNNNNNNNNNNNNNNNNNNNNNNNNNNNNNNNNNNNNNNNNNNNNNNNNNNNNNNNNNNNNNNNNNNNNNNNNNNNNNNNNNNNNNNNNNNNNNNNNNNNNNNNNNNNNNNNNNNNNNNNNNNNNNNNNNNNNNNNNNNNNNNNNNNNNNNNNNNNNNNNNNNNNNNNNNNNNNNNNNNNNNNNNNNNNNNNNNNNNNNNNNNNNNNNNNNNNNNNNNNNNNNNNNNNNNNNNNNNNNNNNNNNNNNNNNNNNNNNNNNNNNNNNNNNNNNNNNNNNNNNNNNNNNNNNNNNNNNNNNNNNNNNNNNNNNNNNNNNNNNNNNNNNNNNNNNNNNNNNNNNNNNNNNNNNNNNNNNNNNNNNNNNNNNNNNNNNNNNNNNNNNNNNNNNNNNNNNNNNNNNNNNNNNNNNNNNNNNNNNNNNNNNNNNNNNNNNNNNNNNNNNNNNNNNNNNNNNNNNNNNNNNNNNNNNNNNNNNNNNNNNNNNNNNNNNNNNNNNNNNNNNNNNNNNNNNNNNNNNNNNNNNNNNNNNNNNNNNNNNNNNNNNNNNNNNNNNNNNNNNNNNNNNNNNNNNNNNNNNNNNNNNNNNNNNNNNNNNNNNNNNNNNNNNNNNNNNNNNNNNNNNNNNNNNNNNNNNNNNNNNNNNNNNNNNNNNNNNNNNNNNNNNNNNNNNNNNNNNNNNNNNNNNNNNNNNNNNNNNNNNNNNNNNNNNNNNNNNNNNNNNNNNNNNNNNNNNNNNNNNNNNNNNNNNNNNNNNNNNNNNNNNNNNNNNNNNNNNNNNNNNNNNNNNNNNNNNNNNNNNNNNNNNNNNNNNNNNNNNNNNNNNNNNNNNNNNNNNNNNNNNNNNNNNNNNNNNNNNNNNNNNNNNNNNNNNNNNNNNNNNNNNNNNNNNNNNNNNNNNNNNNNNNNNNNNNNNNNNNNNNNNNNNNNNNNNNNNNNNNNNNNNNNNNNNNNNNNNNNNNNNNNNNNNNNNNNNNNNNNNNNNNNNNNNNNNNNNNNNNNNNNNNNNNNNNNNNNNNNNNNNNNNNNNNNNNNNNNNNNNNNNNNNNNNNNNNNNNNNNNNNNNNNNNNNNNNNNNNNNNNNNNNNNNNNNNNNNNNNNNNNNNNNNNNNNNNNNNNNNNNNNNNNNNNNNNNNNNNNNNNNNNNNNNNNNNNNNNNNNNNNNNNNNNNNNNNNNNNNNNNNNNNNNNNNNNNNNNNNNNNUCCAAUCGCUUUCCGUUAUGGGGCCCACACAUGGCUGCGCCGUCGUACGAAUAUUCCCCGACAGUACGAAUAUUCCACGACCAAACGAAUAUUCUCCGACAAUAAUGAAUAUUAUAUCACCACUUGCUUAUUUAAAAUAUUUGCGCAUUUUACCCAUAACUAACCACAUUAAUCAAAUCCACCCUUACUAUUUCAAAAUAAUAAAUAAAGGAAAUUCCUUUUUAUUUAAAAAAUUUCGGGGUCUUACAGUAUUGAAUAGUGUGGUCAUAAUCUUUCAACAACUCGAGCCAACGUCGUUGCCGCAUGUUGAGUUUCUUUUGCGUGAAGAAAUAUUUGAGGCUUUUAUGGUCUGAAUAUAUCUCCACUUUCUCCCCAUAUAAAUAGUGCCUCCAUAUUUUUAGCGCGAAAAUGACUGCUGCCAACUCUGGAUCAUGAGUAGGAUAAUUCCUCUCAUAUUCUUUAAGUUGUCGCGAGGCAUAGGCUAUGACUUUCCCAUGUUGAAUGAGAACACAUCCUAACCCUUUGCCUGAAGCAUCACUGUAGAUAACAAAUUCAUCCGAACCAGAUGGUAUUGUUAGAACAGGUGCCGAAAUAAGUCUCCUCUUAAGCUCUUGGAAACUCUUCUCGCAUUCCUCGCUCCAAACGAAUUUUGUAUCCUUCCGAGUUAGCUGAGUUAAUGGAGUAGCAAUUUGAGAAAACCCUUCCAUGAAUCUCCGAUAAUAACCAGCUAAACUCAGAAAGCUACAUAGUUCAGUCACCGUCUUCGGUUGCUCCCAACUUUGUAUUGUUUCAAUCUUCAUCGGGUCAAUAGAUACUCCAUGUUUUGACACCACGUGCCCAAGGAAUGCUACUUCCUCAAGCCAGAACUCGCAUUUCUUCAACUUGAAAUAUAGUUUGUUUUCACGAAGCCUUUGGAGUACCAGCUUCAAAUGGUGCUUAUGAUCUUCACGGGUUUUAGAAUAUAUGAGGAUGUCAUCAAUAAAGACAACAACGAACUGAUCCAAAUAAUCCUUGAAUACUCGGUUCAUCAUAUCCAUUAAAGCCGCAAGAACAUUGGUUAAUCUGAAAGACAUGACUAAGAAUUCAUAAUGCCCGUACCGAGUUCUGAAGGCAGUCUUUGGAAUAUCCUCAGUUCUAAUCUUCAGCUGAUGAUAUCCAGAACGAAGAUCGAUUUUUGAAAAGAAUUGUGCUCCUUGCAACUGGUCAAACAAGUCAUCAAUACGAGGUAGAGGAUACCUAUUCUUGAUGGUGACAUGGUUCAAUUCCCGAUAGUCAAUACAAAGUCGCAUACUCCCGUCUUUCUUCUUUACGAAUAAAACAGGAGCACCCCAAGGAGAUGUACUAGGACGAAUGAAACCGAUGUCCAACAACUCCUGUAGUUGGACCUUUAACUCCUGAAGUUCAAUAGGAGCCAUUCGAUAUGGGGUUUUAGAAAUGGGCUUUGUACCAGGUUCAAGGUCAAUAAAGAAUUCAACUUCACGUUCUGGGGGUAGACCGGGAAGUUCUUCAGGAAAUACGUCAGGAAAGUCAAUAACAACAGGAAUAUUAUUCAAAUUUGACGUGUCUUUAUUCAAAUCCAUAACAUGGGCUAAGAAAGCUUGACAUCCGUUUUUCAAUAAACGAAUAGCUUUAUGAUUAGAUAUGACAGUGAUUGAUUUUAAUGGUUUAGUUGCUUGAAUUCGUACAACAGGUUGUUUAGGAAUAUGAAAGCUAACAACCUUACGAAAAAAGUCAAUUUUGGCAUGAUGAGUAGUUAACCAAUCAAUCCCUAAAAUCACAUCAAAAUCAUGUAUCUUUAAAGAGAUAAGGUCAACAGGUAAGGUGAUGGUGCCAACUUGAAUCAAACAAGAUUUAUAAACAGUGGAUGUGAUGAAAGUUUCUCCUAACGGAGUUUCCACAGAUAGGUCAAAGUCUAAUUUCUCCGGAGUCAAGUUUAAACGUUGAGCACAAGCAGGAGAGAUAAAUGAAUGGAUAUCACCGGUAUCAAGUAAGGUAUAAACUUCGCAAGAAUUUAUAAAUAGUUUAUCCGUGAUCACCUCGUUUGGGUUCCUCGCAUUGUGACCAGUCACAACAAACGCUCUUCCAGGAACCAUUGACUUUGACUUUUCUGGGACAGUCUUUUGAGUCACCGUCCCCGCUGAACUAGGUUUCGCUACCGUACAAUCUCGAGCGAUAUGUCCUUCCUUUCCACAAUUAUAGCAUACUUUGAACUGUUGUGGGCAGUUUGGACUGAUAUGUCCCUCUUUCCCGCAUUUAUAGCAUAUGACCUGUAAGACCCCAAAUAAUUAUUAAAUAAAAUUUAAAUUCCUCUAAUUAUUAUUUUGAAAUAGUAAGGGUUGAUUUGAUUAAUGUGAAUAGUUAUGGGUAAAAUACGUAAAUAUUUCAAAAUAAGCAGGUGAUUAUAAAAUAUUCAUUUGAUCGUGGAAUAUUUUUGCUGUCGGAGAAUAUUCGUACGACGGCGCAGCCUUGUGUGGGCCCCAUAACGGAAAGCAAUUGGAUGAAAAAAAUGACAAGUAUAAGUUAUUUAUAAAUAACGACGUAGUUGUUACUGUUAAUAUUAUUAAAAUACUCGGUGGUUAAAACACAGUAGCACACGGUAUUGCACCAAUUAUUGAUUCUUACGUAAGAAGGCACUACUCAAUAAUGGUUACAGUAAUUACUGUUCAAUUAUUUUAUCUUGUUCAAUAAUUGCUGCAUUGAUAUUUUAUAUUACUGUUGUUUUAAUAAUUGUUAUUAUACAAUAUUUUUUUUUAUUAUCGGAGCAAUAAUUCAUAUUAUCUGAAAAAUAUUAUUGGAUAACAUUAUUGGCAAUGUCUAGAAAGUUCUAUCUAAGGAGAGGUUUGGUCACCUAAUUGCGCGCCAGUAAGGAGAAAUUCUUAUUGGAAAGCCCCCUCUUUCCUGGGAACUGCCUGGUUGUCAAUAUUGUGAUUCUGUAAUAUUAUUUGUGAAUAAUUAAUUAUUGAUUUAUAUGAUGAGAAAAAUAUUGAUUUUAUGUGGAUAUAGAUGGAGAAAAUUUUUAAUGUGACAAUUGUUGAAAAUUAAUAUUUUAUCUUUUUCUGAUAAAAUAAUUCAUUUAAAUAUAUUAUUAUAUUUUUAAUAAUAUAAUAAUGGUGAUAUUUUUUUACAAUGAAUGUGAGAUAUAUGAGUAUACGAGGAGAAAGAGUAUUUUUGUUGCAAUAAAUGUUUAAAAUAUGUUAAACAUGUCUGUGGACCCAUUUAUUGACUGAAAUUUGAUUAUAGCCUGUAAAAUCACCCGUUUAUGAAUUUUGGUCAAUUUAUGUUGGGAAUUUGGAAAAACUCUCUUCUACAAAGUUGUAGAUAAUGGAAUUUCCUAUAAAAAUUCGCGAGAUUCAAAUUUUCUGGCAAAAUGACUAUUUAUUGUGAAUUAUUGAAGUUUCGAAGCUCCGAAAUAAUUAAUAUUUGAAAGUUUUAAAUAUUUUUUUUAAUAAAAACGUUUUUUUCAUUUUUUCUAGAAGAUGAGCAUGUGGGAUAUGUUAGAAAUCUGAUUUUUCAAGGAGGCGUAUGAAAUUUAUUAUUAAUAAUAUAUUUUAAUAAAUUUUUUACUUUGGUAUUCUAAGCAUUUUCCUAUAAAUAGGGUGCUUAGGUUAGAAUUGAAAAUCACACCAGAAACUGAAGUUUUCUCUCUAUAUAUUAUCGAACGUAUUUUUGUGAGUAUUUUGAGUAUACUUUGAGUAUUACUAUACGGUGCAAGUUCAAGUUAUAGCCUAUAUCCGUUAUUCCAGUUAGAAGUACUGUCUUUCCGAGGUAAGGGAUAUUAUUUUUAAAAAAAUAAUAUUAUUUCUUCAAUAUCAUUAUGCCGAAAUAUUGAUGAACUUUUUAAUCAAAUUUGAAACUUUUGAUGUCGGAGUUACUAUUCACGUAUACGGCACUAUUCACGUAUACGACACUAUUCACGAAUACGGCACUAUUCAUCGAAAAAUAAAAAUUUUCCUUUUUCAUCUAAAAUAUCUAUUGUGGAUACUAGCUUUGAUUGUUUUCAUGUUUUGAUCAUUCUUGAAUUUUACAUCACUAUGAUUAUUUUUAAGGUAUUUUUGGACAUGGAUAAAAUAAAGUACGAAUCUUUAAUCCUUAAUCCUUGUCAUUUUGUUUCACUGGAUUCGUUUCUUUAAAAAUAUUUUUCAUCAUCCUCAGUCUUAAAUGAUGAUAUUAUUGAAUAUCUUUGGCCUGUAGUGCAAAGAUGAAUGAUUUCUGAUGAAUAUCUUUG